GUUGUAUAUAGCACAAACAGGAUUUAUCUGAUGUGCUCUGGUAUACAAUGUAGGAGAAAGAAGCUGGGAAGGAGUUGUUCUUUUGAGGUACUUUUCUCACUUUUCUCACUAUGUUCACCUGGUAUAGAGCUUGUCAAUAGAGAAUCUCUUGUGACUUAUUUGUUUGAGAGUUAAUAAUUGUCCACUUUUCUUUUUAAACCUGCUGCUAACAUACAGAGCUGGUGUUCUUUCCCCAGCACCUAGAUGCAUUGGUGUAUGUGUCACAUUUUGGGUACCUUAAAUAGAAUUACGGUGUAUUAGGAUAAGACAAUUUCAUGAGCAUUGAAUAUGUUGUAACUGCGAUAUUACUAAACUACUUUUUAAGUAUAAGAAAAUAUAUUUAACAUAUCAAAAUUCCUACAAAUUGAAAUAAUAUUUGUGUCAACUCAAUUCAGAAGUUUAUUAACAUAUUAGUUAUCAUAUACUUUUUUUUCUGCAGUUCCAUUCCCCAAAACACAAACUAGGGAAAAAAUAAAACUUAUAAAACAUAAACAUGUUCUAUUUAUACCUAAGAGCAUAAUUCUGAAGAGUCAGAGGAAUUUGGUAAUAUUUUAACAUGCCUUAUUUUUCCAGUCGAUUUAACUAUCUGCUAUGCAGAAUUAUGACUUAAUUUAAAUGUUCAAAAAAUAUAUAUCAGAAAUAUCCUGCACAUAUUUCUUUACUCAGUUCACCUUUUUAUGGUGUUUCAUAUCUUGUCUUUUUUGUGUACUGUUUGAAUUCAACCAUAAAUGUAUCACUUUGUGUAAUGUGAUGUUAUAUUUUAAAAGGGUAACCAAAGAUUUAAUUUUAGGAUUAAUUUAAUUUUAGAAAAGAAAUUCAAAUUUUUUUUUUAGAAUUGUUUUUACUGUGCAAUAACGUUAUUUUAUCGCAAACCACAUUCUAUUGGAUUGAAAAUUAUUAAGAUGUAUUUUCAUGUUAAUGUUGCUUUUUGCAUAUAUUUCAAAUUCACCCAAUGCCUUUGUUGAUAGUAUGAUUUUAUUAUAACUUUUGAUGUACUCUGGUAGAUGUAAUCUUGCAUCUGUUGCCGAAUUUGCCAUCUGUUUCAACUGAAAGCGUCUCUUACCAGUAGAGUGGAGGUUAUUCACUAAAAAGUACUUUUUUUUUGAUUUGGUAACUAUCCUGCUAAAUUUUGUACAAAGUUAAAAUACCGAGCAUAGCUGAGCUAGAGGUUUUUAAAUUUUUUAAAUUUUUACUCCAAAAGUGAAAUCACCAUAGCUAAGGUAUCUUUACAUAAUAGCAAGUUGUGAAGCCUUGAGAAAUACUUUGCACGAUUUAGGCCAAAAUAAGAAAUCUGGCAAAAAUCUUCACAUUUUCUGAGUUGGAAACUUUAUACAACAUGAUUAUUUUUUUGGCAAUUUUCAACAUAGCUGUCAACCACAUCAUUAUGUCAAGUAAAUAGACCCAAACCUUUAGUGAAUAAGCCCCUUUAUUUACUUGCUCAAGAUCGCAUAUUAAUACUUGGAUCUUAUAUAAAUAACACUUUGUAGAAAUAGCCAAAACAGAUUACUGUUGCAGAACUUAGUGUAUAUAGUUUAAUUGUUAUGUUCUUCAAUAGAAUAUUUUUUUUACUCUGUUUUAGUAAUCAUUGAUACAUAGAAGUGUAUAGCAUUUGUACUAGGGUGAUUACUGGGUCACCAGUGCAAUAUUGGGUUUUUAUUCAUUAAACAUGUAGUUGUCACAAGAUAUGGAAUGAUUUUGGAAACAAAUAAACUACUUUGGAACAAUAAAGGCACCCUGUUGUAUUAAAAAUCAGAUCAUCUUUAUAUUUAAUUAAUUUUCAUAUAGAAACUUCCAGCCUAUAAUGUAGAUCUGUUCCCUGUCUGAGAAAAGCUUAGAGUAAAAAAACACUUAGAAAUAAGAAGAGAAUAUUUAGUAAUUUUUUAUUUAAUCUAGGGAAUAUUGCUCUCUUUCUGAUGAUCAAUAUUUCCCAUUACCCAGGCCUCUGCUUUAAUCCUUGUGGUAGAAUAAAUAAUAAUAAAUUGCAGAUUUGAUUAUUGCACUGUAUAAUGUAUACUGUCAGAUAUCUAUGCGUAAAUAUGCAAAAUCAUACUUCCGUUAACUGCUGAUUUGAAAUGCCACAAAAACUAUGCCAAUCAUUAUAAUUAAUUUUAUAUAGCUUAUAACUAUUUUCAUAAAAAUAUUACAUAUAAAACAUAUAACGCUUUUUCUUUAUCUGUCUGUUAGAGGAACUAAUCAUUAAAAAAAAGGUCAGGUUUAUUCACUAAAGUGAGAAUUCAAGGUGAAUUCAAAGUGAAUUUCAAAUUUAAGGUUAAAAUAACCGACUAGAAAAAUUCUUGAAGUCGGCAAUGCUUUCAUUUCAAGUACUCGUGGCUUAAAUUUGAGAUUCACUUUGAAUUGGCACUAAAUUCUAAUUUUAGCAAAUAACCCUGAUAGUUGCCUUGAGAAUCAAAUGUUUAUUCAUAAAUGUGGGCCAAAAAAAAGUGAGUUCCAAAAAAUCUCCAAUAUACUCCAGAUGGACAUGUUUUUUUUCCAGUUAUGCUCUUAUAGUGCUGUUUUAUAAGUUGUUCUACUUUAAUUAGUGACAAUAUGGCUAUUUAAAAAGCAAUUGUAUUGCAUGAAUGCAAAUUAUUCAGAUUCAUUUAUUCAUUUGUUACAAACAAGCAGUAGCUCAAAAUAUGAGUGCCUUAAUAAUCCUCCCAGUGAGAAUACUACACUAAAAAGAUGUCCCCAGAGCAGCCAAACACAACCACAAACAACCAAACAAAACCCCAAACUAUGUUUACAUUCUUACUUUUAUUAAAACUAAAGUCAAUUGUCGUAUGAUUCUGAAUGAAUCAUAAGUAAUUUGUAUUUCGUUCCUUUGAAAUAUGAGAACAAGAUAUCGCUGAGAUUGAAAAUAGUAUUUUUUUCUGUUAUUUGUACAUAAAAAACUGUAUGAAAUCAACAAUUUAUGGCAAAUAUAGAGCAUACACAUACAUUACUGAAUAUUGAAUAAGUGCAAGAAUAAAAAUGAUUAUACCAAUAUAAGAAUAAUGAACAUAUUCAUUAAAUGUAAAAUUCAAUAUUCUUAUAAAGCCUAUUACGAUAAUAUUUUAAAUACAUUUUACUAAUUAAUUUUCAUAUAGUAACAAAAAAUAUUAAAUACUGCUGCAUAUAUUCCCACAAAUAAAUAAAGAUAGCACUUAUUUAUAGAAUGCAAACAAUAUAAAGAUGUAUUUAAAACAGGACCUAAUCCUGUAACCCUGAAGUGGAAUUCAUAUUUGCUUAAAAAAAUGAAAUAAUAAAGGUAUUUUACCUUUAAUUUAAACCAGGGAAAUUAAUGUUUUUCUUGUGUUUCAAGAAAGUGAAAUACUAAUUUUAUCUAAAUAUUGAUUUAAAAAAACUUCCCUCUGUGAUUAUAUAUACUAUGCAUAAUUGUCUUUUUAUUUUUAUUUUUUUCAAGUUAAACGGUUGGGGUCUAGGUAUUAAACAGUGAGUUGAGCUAAAAAUCGGCUUGAUAAAGAGUAAAGAUGAAAAAAAUAUACCCAACAAACUGAAGAUUUUGUUCUAAAAAAAUAAACUCUUGUAAGCUGGUUUUAAAGUCACUGUACUUAGCUCUUUAGUUACCACACUCUAAAGUUUGUUUUGAUACUUUGUAAAAAUAUAUAGAUCAGUAUGAAAAUUCUCUACAAAGUGCAAUACUAAGGAAAAACAUUUUAAGCAUUUUUUUCUUUUAAAUUAUACAUGUUUUCUUUUUUUUCCAUUAUAUUAUUGUAUGAGGCACACCCACCAUUGUCCUGUAGAAGUAUGCUGUAAGAAAAAGAAAUCCUCAAUUCUAUUUAAAUUCAUUGGGAUUUUCUGGUGACACAAAUCCCAUACAAUAGUUUACUACAUACACAUUCACUCUGUUUGCUUAAAGACUUUAAUAAAUGACCUACAAUUCACCUCUUCAUCCCAAAAUGCCCAGCCUUAUGUAGAUUUUCCCAGACGGAGUCCAGUGGGUCAUUUUAUAGUGAUGUUUGGGGUAAAAGUCACUAAAAAGGAACCAGCUUAAUAACGUUAUUGUUAAAGCGGCUGGAGGUAAUUUUGUAUAUCCAUUUGAUGGCAAAUAAUUUAUAUAUGCUGCAUACAUACCCAUGGUAGGCACACAUUGAAAUGAUUACAAAUUGGAAAUAUUUUAUAUUCAUAUUGCGUCAUUAUGCUAUAUGCUAUACACAAUUCAUACAUAACAAGUUGAGAUUAAAUCCAAUUGUAGGCUAAUAUUAAACUUUUUGUUCAAUAACUUUUUAUGAGUCUUAUAGUGAAUAGUGUUUCUGAAUAUAUGUGUCAUUUUGUUUAUUUUUAUUUAGUGUUUCUACUAAAAGCUGGACAGAUGAUUAUUUUCACACUUUUUUUCAAUAGUAUAAACUUAUCUGAAAUCUUAUUUGUAGGUUUUUAGUAGUUCAAGAUAUUUUGUAUUAUAUUUUGUUCAGCUUUAAUUUCAAAAGAAGAAAGAAAUGGUUCAUGCUAAUCUCAAUGCAUUUUUAGUCAAUUUCAUAAAGUUAAAAAACCAUCUUAUUCCAUAGUUCAAAUUUAAAUUUACUAAUAUGCUUUGUAUUAAACCAUUGCUUGAUUUAUAAAAAAAAUGCUAAAUUAUAGAAUGUUGCCCUAGACUUAUUUACAGUACAGUAGAAUCAAAAUUAUAUAUAUACUCAAUAAUGUUUAUCUGGAAUCUAUAAAUAAAUAUAUCUCCACUACUUACACACUGCCAUGAGAUUGAUCUUGCCAUACUAAUAACAAUCAAAUGGAAAUGAGUGCCGCUAAAUGUUUUUAACCUCACAUAUUUCUAAAACUAAGUCCAUUCAUUUAUUAGUGUCAUGAUUCUCGUUCAUGCUCAACUCUUUUUAUCAGAUGUUUAGUCCUUGUGGUAGUGACUAAUUUGAGAUACAGUUAAGAAUUCAUAUGGACAAUAGCUUAACAACAUGGGUUUCUAGAAAUCACCACAAACAUUAUACAGUCUAUAAACCUCUGCUAACCCUUUGACACUGGUAUUUUAGCACCUUAUUAAGGCACCUACAGAAUGGGAGAUUAAAUUGAAUAUAAAAUCUAUUUAAAAUGUAUUUUGUCUCUGAAUCUUAUUUUUAAGGAAUUUCAAACAUUUGGACUCAGAAAAUCUCAUUCUGAUAUAUUUUCUUCAUAGAAACAUAGGAUACCGAUCUACGCUGGCGUGCAAUUAUUUUUUCAAUACUUUUUUUUGUUCUCUGGGUUUUUCUGAUAGUACUUGCUUAAUAUUUGUGUUAUAAAUAAUACGUCUAUAUAAAAUGCAAUUGACGUGUAUACAUAAAGGUCAUGAUCCGUUAGAAACUGAACUAAAUCAUACAGUUAGGAUUCUGCAUUUGCAUAUUUAUUAACUGGUGAAUCUCUGUGAUGUAUUAAGUAGAUAAUAGCAAUAACAAUAAGCUUGUUAAUUUCAUAUCAUUUUUAAAUACUUAUUUCAUAGGAAGCCAUUUAAAGUUUACGUUUCAUUUUUUUUGAGUCCUUGUUAUUUUUCUUUUUUUUUUUUUUUUUAAUCUAUCGAGGAUAGGGCAUGUUUUGAGAUCAUUCGCCUAUUAAAGGAUAUAAAUUGGACUAUUCAAGGUCACCCUUACCGGAAAUGAGGCCAGUGGUUAAGCAGGUUCCGCAUUGUCUCUGUGUCUCUGUCCGGGUCAAGGUCAAGUAAAGUUCAAAAGCUUCUAGUGUGAAUCACUUUCAAAUGAAAAUCAUUAUUCAUGUUGUGUGUAAGUAAAGCUCACAAUAAAUCCUCAGCAAUUUUGCCAGUUCUAGGUUGAUGCUAGCAGUUAGCACAUAGUUAUGAAACAAUCCAUUAGAUUUAUGGAUAGUUAAUAAUUGUGAUAUUUGUAAAUCUUUAUUAUUUAAUAGAACAAACUAACAUUACAAAUAGAAAUAUUAAUAUUUAUUUUUAUUAUUACAGUGUUCCCUCAUAUCAUCAGAUUACUGCCACCUCAGUUUCAAAAAGAGUAAAAAAACAAACCUGUAGUCCAGCACACAGACAAACACUAUAAAACUUACCUGUAAUCCAGCGCACAAGCAGCCUCCUUGCUGCAAUCACUCCUCCACCAGUGAAGUGAUGAAUUCUGAUGGCUUUUGUUCAAUCCGAUGCUUCUCGUAGAGAAACAAUGGAAACCUACGGUGCAUGCACUACAAUUGUUGCACUCCGCCAAUCCAAUGCUUCUCACAGAGAUGCACUGAAUCUAAUAUAUCUCUAUCAGAACUAUUGAAUGCAUUUGGUGUCCUUAUGCUGAAGACACGUCAUAAGCGGUGAUAUUGAGUAUAAACAGCUUUUUAAAAUUGAAAGUCUUCUUGAGGAAGUGCCUCUAUUAGCUGUCUGUCUGACAGCCACUUCAGACAUAAUUUUGGACAAAUGAUGACACUGCUGUUUCUAAAAAAUGGCAAUAUUUACAUUGUCAGAUUAAAAAGGGCAGCAUCUAUGCAUUGGAUCUCCUAAAUUAAGAUGACGUGGUAUUGGUUAUAAGAGUAUCCCUUUAAGAUUAUACUUUAGUCAUUUAAUAAUCAACAUGGCAAAACCCAUUGAAAAAAACCUCUUAUUCUUGAUUUAUGUUAGGGACCUGUCCUGUAAAGUUUAGGACCCCCCAAAUUUCAGACCCAUAGGGCAUUUCUCUAAAGUGAGAACUCAAAGUGAAUUUCAAAUUAAAGACUAAAGCAGCCAAACUGGAAGCAUAGCUGAAUUUGAGAUUUUUUCUGGUUUAGCUAUUUUAUUUUUAUUUGAAAUUAUGGGUCCAAUACUGGAUGAAAAAGUAAUCUUGGAGAAAAAUCUCAAAACAGGUUACUAAUGAAAAGCAGUCAGUUGGAUAUUAUUUUAAACAUCGCUGACUUGAUUUAAUUGACUUGUAAACCUCCACAGGGUUCAGACUGUGCAAAUAGGCAAAAUAAUUAUAAUAAAUACAUUAAAUAAUCAAGUUAAUCUAGAGUCUUUGCUAUUAUACAUGAAGGCCAGGAUACAACCCUUAUAAAAAUAAGCUGUGUGACGCUCAUUCCCCUAGUACUAAUGCCAUAUCCCAAGGUCUUUGCCAUUAAUACAGUCUUCAGCUUUAUUACCCUAAGAACAAUGUGUUUUGCUGUUUGUUUUCACUUCAAUAACAGUGUUACAGUUGAUUCCCUUACUAAACCAUUAUACUCCAGUACAUUUUUAGUUUAUUUUUUGUGUACCACACUACCGCUUUGCUUAGAGUGUCUUUUGGAGAAAUAGCAUUGAGCUGAAAGUUCACGUUUUUUUUCUUAUAUCCUCUUAGCACCAGCACAAAGGUUAGUCUUUCAAGUCACUUGUCAGCGAACAAUACUUGAAAGCCAGUCAGCGUCCAGCGGGUUGUUUAAGAUGGCUUAAACCAACUUUUUUCAAAUUACAUUAAUUCAGUCUUUUUCUCAUACUCCACUUUAAGUGAGUUUGGGUCUAUUUCAAACACCCAACUCGAGUUAACGUAAAUAUUUUUUUCAGUCCACUUUCCUAUGUUGUCAAACGAUUGCGAAUAGAUUAUUAGAAAUACAUGUUGAAUACUAACUUCACCUUAAUAUGGACCGGCUGUUUAGAUAAAAUAAACAAUAAGAGUGGACAGGUUAAAGAUAGAUUAGCGUAAUAUGUCUCUCUUAUGUCUCUGUUACUGCACGAUAAAAGAGAAGGAAAAAAUGAAUGUUAAAUUUACAUUUGCCGUGUUGCUAUACUAUAUAAAUAUCCCAAACUUGACAUGCUCAUUUUAAAAAUUAAUAUUGAAUGCAAAUAACAAGCAGUAAAAAAAAAUGCCUUAAUAAUAAUUGGACUGCUGUUAUUUUGUAUAUGAUUAAAAUAAAAGUGUAAAGUUGCUUGUACAAGCUUCUAUUUAGAAAUAAAUCACACAUUGGGAUAUAUAUUUCUUUUGCCUUCAUUCAGUUAUAAGGGAAGGCUAACUAAAAUACCUUUAGAUAGAUGGUUUGCUUCAAAUUUUGCAAAAUUAUUACUGGGAACCUAUAUAUAUAUAUCUGAAUUCCUUUACUUCUCCUUGUUGGAUACGUAUAUAAUAACUCUUACUAGCAAUUAUUUCACAAGCCAGAGUUAUCAUUGCCUUUCACCAUUUUCUGCCAUGCAUAUAUAGCACGCUUCCGGACUAUGGUUGUGUUAUAGAGUCAUACAUUUGCAUGUCGUAUUGCCGUAAUCACCUGUUUUGGUAACAUUUUAGUAAAGCCCACAUGUAGGUUAAUCUGAUUGUUCCAUACUGAUCUAUGUAUUUCUUAUUGCUUUACUGUUUAUAUGGACAUACCCUUGUAUUAUAGUGAUAUCAUGCCUUUAAGCUACAGGCAUUUAAUAUAUUUAGUUAUUGUAUGGAUGUAUUUAUCAGUUUGUUUGUUUUUUCUUUUUUUGACCAGAGCUUGUGUUUCUUUUAUUUUGCUGUGCAUUUAUUGAUCAGUAUAGAUUUAUUGACAAUUCUGAGAAUUCAUAGUUAAAAGGUGAAUGUUUUCUCACAUUUGCCUUAAAGGAUUGCCAUUGGUGAAUACACAAAUAAUUGAUUCUAAAAUGAUGUAUCAUUGGCAGAUUAAAAUAAUUAUAGUGAUAGUUAACUAUGAAAAGCCAAGCAGUGGCAUAUUUGCUAUGCUGCAAGAAGCAGAAAUUAUCAUUUUUGAUAAUUGCUCUGCAUAGAAUCUUUUGUUAUAUUUGUACGCACUACACGGAAAAAGCAUGGUUUCUGUAAUUCAGUCCUGAACAAGUGGUGCUAAGAAGCUUCUGGGUGUAAAGGAAGUAAUAGAUCAUAAAACCUCACAAGGCAGUUCAGAGGUUUAUUAUAAAUCUUCCUUAUGUUAGCAGUUACAGAGUGCAUGUCUUUAUUAUCUAGAAUGAAGUGUUCCAAACACUGGACCAAACGCAAUGAAAUGUUCUGGCUGGUUAAACCUAUUCUUUGACUUUUGCUAGAAGGUUCUGCCUCACUUACCGAAUGAUUGCCAGUCUCUUGGAGCAGAGAGGGGGUUAACAACACAAAGUUUUUGACUACCAACCUGAUUCCUGAUGUUUAGCUUCCUCAGCACUGGCCUGGAAUAAAUUCCUGUUUUCAUUGUAAAAUUGCAAAAUACAACUCUAAUACAUAGUGUUUGCCAUAUUGUGCUGAUAAAGCAACAUUACAUUACACAUAAAAGUAAAAUAAUAAAUCAGAAUAAAAUAUAAUAAUAUAAAGUUAAAGAGUCCAGUCGGACAUUGUCUUUCUUUUGAAAUGUCUCUUAAUGGAGAUACUAGAAUAAAAGAAUAGAAGGUGUGUGUGUUUAUAUAUAGAAUAGAAGGUGUAUAUAUAUAUAUAUAUAUAUAUAUCUGUAUAAAUAAAUAUACAUAUAUGAACACACAAGAAAUAUACAAAAUGUGGUACUUCAUGAAAAUAUAGCAUGCUCUUUUGUCUUAUGCGGGCAGUUUUAUUUAUAAAUAAUGACAAAAAAAGGUCAGCAUUGCAGGUGCAACAAUGGAUAUUUAUUAAACAUAUUUUUAUUUCCACCAUAUCUUUAAAAAAUUUUUUUGUGAUUUUGGAAUUGGUGAAACAAAAUAUAUAUUAUUAAUUUAAACCAAAUUAAAAAUCAAGUUUAAAACCUUCAGAACUGAAACCGAGAUUUAAAAAGUAUUGAUUGCUCUAAUUGUAUUUAGAAUUUUACGUAGAUGUGAAUAGGAAAUAUAUAUAUAUAUAUAUUAAUAAGGAAUUAAAAUCGAUUCUAAACCCACUCAAUGUGAGUUAACUCUUGAUCACCCCAUUUAAAGAUUAAAGAAAGAACCUGAUUUAUUUUUUUUAAGUAUAUUUUGUUUAUUUUCUUCAUUGCCUACGUGCAAACUAAAAUCUUUUAGAUAUAAAAAUUUUCUAAAUAAGUUUAAUCGUGAAAUAAUAACAUUUAUUUUAUUUUAAUUUCUAAAAUAUUCCACUUUUUUACGUGAUUUCCCAUCAUUCUUAUUCUUUAUAUAUACGUAUUGUUCUUGUAAAGGCUUUCAUCAACCCUACUUUCUUUAAUUCCACCUUCAUUUCUUUUUUUCUUACUCUUUCUUUUUUGGAUGGUCACUUUUCUGUUUUUUCUUCCCUAUAGCUUGUAUCCCACUGUGUUUUGGUGCAGCACAAAAGACGAUCACACGCACCAAUAUUAAAUGGAGCUUAUCCUUAGUGUGUCUACUAUCCAGUACGGUUUCUAAGCUAUGGGAACUUAUACAGCCAGUUGGAAGAAUGUUCACACUUUGGAUUAACAAUUUAUCAGUACAUUUCAGACCCCAUCUCGAAUCCUUUUAUUUUUCAUCUGCGUUCCAAUGCCACAAGCAAAUAUGCUUUGUACCUUUUAACUUUGUACCUUUUAACCCUGCAUUUUGCAGGGAUUUGACCAUUAAACAGAACCUAUCGCUUGUCUUGAUUUUAAAAUAUUCAACUAAAUAUUGAAAUUAUUAGCUCAUUCUUGUUAUUUUACUUAGAAAAUAUAAAAAGUGCAAAAUGACUGCAAUUUAUAAUCAAUACAAACAUCUGCCAAAGUCCUCUUAAAAAAAAAAAAAAACAUGUAUGCGUGAAUAGAUUACAAAUUAAAUAUAUACAGAAUAGCCUCUAUCGAAUGACUGUGGCAGGCCUGCUUGCUCAGGGAUCAAUAUCACUUGGUUUCAAUAUGCUUUUGUUUUUUAACUGUAUUGUCUAUAUUGCACCGUGUGUUUCUUUAGCAUCUUCCUUACAAUCAUCCUUAAAUAUUUUACAACGUUGAUGAUAUUCAUUUUUAUAGGUAAGCCUAUGUUGAACAUAUGGCACCAUAAAACGGAGGGAGUGUACAUAUAGCUUUAUAUUUUUUCCCUUAAAAUCCCACAUAAAAUGAAACAGCAUUUACUGGAUUGUAAAAUUUGAUAUUUAGAUAUCAAAAUAAUAAUCGGAAACUAAAAUAAAUCCUUCAAGAUUAAGUAUAUUACACACAAACACAAAUAUAUAAACAUACACAUACUAUAAAUGGUUGACUUUAUUAAAAUUUUAUAAUUAUUGAAUUGUCCAGCAUUUUACAUUCUCAAGGCAUAGUAUGAGAAAUAUGUACAAUAAAAUGCUAACCAUUGUUUUUUGCUGUUUGACUGUAAACAUGUCUGACAUGGACAUACAGAUUUCAACUAUAGGAGAAAUUGCAGUGAUAUGCUAACACUUUGUCAUAUUCCGAGGCACUCUGGAUGAUGUGAAUGAUAAUCAAAUGUGGUGCAGCAUUACUUCUGCAUAUUGUGCCUGUGAAGUUUUUAGGCCGAUGAAAAAACGGACAUAGUUUGUCAGUUCUAAUUUGGUGUUUUAAAUCAUGGAAAAGGUGUUUAAGUUUAUUUAGCCAAAUCUUGUAUGUAUGUUCAUUACUAUUUGUGUGAGAAAAUACAUACGUAUACUGUUGUAUAUAAGCAAUGUUAGGAUAUUACUGCUUUAAUGAAUGGUCUGAUAAAAACAAAAACAAUUAUUAUUUUUAAUAACAGCAUAUCACAUUUCUAGUGAAAUUACAUGGUUGAAUUCUACAUGAUUGCAAAAAAAAUUCUAAUGAAAAGAAUGCCGCAUGCAUUUGAAAUCUUACUAUUUUAUAUAUCAUACUUUCUUCUAUACACGUUAUAUAUUUUUUCACCAGUGUGAAGAUGUGCUUGUAUGUUAUUUUGUGACAAUAUUCAUGUUAUAAUCAUGAUUGCCAGUGUUUUAAAAUUGACACCUUUUAGAUAUUAACAAUAGAAUCUCACAUAUUUUUUAAACAAACUUUUAUUUAAUGGAGUCUAUUUGGAAAAAAAACCAAUACAUCCAUCCAUUAAAGCAGCUUCGCACCUUAAAUGUUUGUAAGGCUGCCUGUUAAUUUUAUAGGACAGGAUAAAAGGUGAUUGGCAUUGUGGAUAGGUAAUGUCUUAACAAUCAAGCACGUCUGUUAUCCAGUCAGACAUCUGCAGUGAAGGAUGCACCUUAACCAGUUCACCAGUGUCAUUCGAUGUAUGCAUACUGGGAGAAGUGCACAUAGAUUCAGGGAAUAAAAAAGGGUUAAUGUUUGACAAGGACAUCUCUGGCACAGUUAAUCCAUACAAAGCUCUAGGAUUUCUCUGCAGUCAUCUUUGUGAUUUUCAUUAGCAUUUUUUUUUCUUCUUUUUGUGAAAUCUUUUCUUCUUUCCCUUUACCCUCUCGCGCUAGCAGAAAUUAGCAUAUUAUACCAGGAGUAGAAGAUGUAAGAAGCUGACCCCCUGCUGUUCAGUGGAUUGUGCAAUCUGCAGGCGGCAUCAAUUUUUUAGCAGUUUGCUCAUUGCUCAUUACAGUCAAAGUACCAAGUGGCUGUGAAUCUAGCAAUAUUUCCCCUGGUUCUACAGGCAAGCAUAUGGGAUGUCUAUAACUAUAUCAAUACUUUCAGAGCAUUAAUAUUAUAGCUCAUACCAGACUUGCAAUUAAUCAUACUACCCGUGUAUAGCUUGGGGUGUAAAAAUCCCAGCUAAUAGCGUUCAAUCAAAACACUGCGGCUUUAUCCCCCAAAGCUUCAUUGACAAUAACUGACAGGCAAUCCUAUAUCCUAGUUAUGGCAAAUCACCCCGUGGUCAAUCUCUCUUGUCAAAUAAACCGAAUUAAAGGAGAGGUACGCAUACAGUGCUAAAAAUAGCAUUUGUUUUCUCUUGCUGUCAAUAACAAUAAAAAUAAUGGUAAGAUAGAAAUAUAUAACACAAAAUGUAUGAUAGCGUUGACAACCAUAUAGUUGCCAUGGUGAUGAAGAACAAUAUUGAGCAACAUGCAUCCCAUUUGUUAAGAAUAUUAAUUUAAAAAUGCUUUUCAAUAUAACCCUCGAUUGGUCGUGAUUUUGAUUUAUAAUUAAUGUACCUGAAUAUAACUACUUCACUGCAUCACAGUAUAAAUAAUCAAAAGGCUCUCACUUCAUCAACUCAUUGAUCAAGUGUAAAAUUGGAUUGGGGCAACCUUUGUUAUGACAAAUGGUCACAGUCUAUGUUGUUUUUGUUUUUUUCACUCCGUGUUCAUUACGGGUGAAGUCAGAAACUGCUGAUUUGUCUAUAUACUUUAGCUAUAAUUGUUCCUUAACCAGUAAAAUACUUCACAUGUUUUCUAUUCCUGUAAGGGUGGGAAACAUACUAUUCUUGUAUCAUAUUUUGAAAACCCUACUGGCUGUUUUGGCCUUUUUAAAUUUUGUUUGCAAUGUAUUCAAAAUUAUGUUAUGUCCAUUCCAAGCUAGCAUCAGCUGUAGGUUGUAGCAGUCCAGAGGCAGUUGUUAAUAAGAUGUGUAUAUCAUUUUUUUUAUUUUGCUUUUUAUCUUUGAAAAUUUUUGAUUUUGAAAUAAUAUUGUAUUCAAUAUACAUUCAUAUUUUUGAGGCAACAAUACAAAUAUAAUUGUCACCAGUAAACAUGUCAGUUAUCGGUACCCGCCAGUGUGUAUAAUCAAUAACACCCCCACUAAAAAUGUACACAAAACAGAAGAAGGCACUCUUGGGAAAAUUGACUUUUGAACAUAUUGAGAAUAAAGGUUUUAUGGUUCGAGAUUCAAAAGGGUGCUUCAUAUGAGGGGCACUGUAACAUUUUUUUACAUAUAUAUUCUUGCCUUCCCAAAAUGCCUUAACCUUUAUAAUGUCAGAGAUCACACCAUAUAACAUUGCACAAUGUUUUUCAAUAAUAUAGAAUCUCAUACCUUUAUAAGCAAACCAAAAUGUAAAAUGUACACAGGGUAAAUUAAGAGGUAUCUAGUGAGUCUUUUUGUCUAAAAUGAACGUCAUUUAUUAUUUGACAAAGCAUUGUGUUUUCAAAAAUCACCGGUGUGCCUUAAACAAAAAAAAAACCUGUUCUUAUUGUUAUUACUAUUUUAUUGGCUGUGACUAAAUAUUUUAGCUGUCUCUGUAGAAGAAUUAUGCCAAGGAUCUACUGAAGUGUUUGCCCAAGUUCAUUAUACAUAAAUACAUUGUAUCAACAUUUUGAACAUAAUUUCUAAAUUCCUGUAGAUACCAUAUAGUUGUAAAAAUAGCAUAACUAUUUGACGUGUUACUGAGUGGGCAUCAUCUUAUUCAGGGCAAGCUAUAGAACGCUGUUUGCUGUUAGUCGAGCCUUCCUUGUUCUUGUGUAAAACUCAAUUAUAAUUACAGCACACUGUUGUUUCAAUGCACUGUAAUGAAGCCAUAAACCAUUAUCAGGCUGUCAAAAACAGACAUUUCCAAUAGGCUAAUUAUAUGGCAUUUUCUUCAAAUCAGUUUGUUUACCAUUUCUGUUUAUUAGUGAAUAGUCAUUUUAUAUGACUUGUAGAGGGUUAAACUUAUUCCCUGGCAGUAAUAGAUUACCUGCCAGGUUUUCACUGCUAUCAUAUUUGUGCAAAUCUAAUCCAGCAGUAGUUUUUGCUAAAGCUUUUUAGUGUGUGUAGUGCAUAUCUGUUCUGCAUUACCUUUAAAAUAAGUAUAAUAUUAUUCAUAGCUUUUUUUUAAUGUAGUCGUGAGGUACCUGAAGAAAUAGCAAUGCAAUAAAGGGUGGCUACAGCCUAGAUCCAAUCCCACUAGUCCAAAUACUUGCUUGGUGAGUGACUUAUUAAGUCAAAUAAGAAAUCGGGCAGGGAAUUAAAACAUGAACGGGACUCAACACAGAUACAUAUUGAGUCAUUUGGCAUUUAGUCUUAUUUAUUUUGUUGCUUUUCUUCUCGUCUUCUGUAAGUGGAGAGGACCUUAAUUUUACUUGCACCAUUUCUUAUUGGCUAAAAUAUCUUGGUAGAUUAUGUAACUGUAAAAUUAAGAAAAAAAACAGACCAGCCAAAACGUUAUUACCCCCAUAUGUUGUCCCCUUCUUUUGCACAGUUUCUCACCUGUCUCCACAGCAUAAUGUCCUUCAUCUCUAAAUAAAAACUAUGUUUAUUGAGGUGCAGAUGAAGGGUUCUCAAAUUCUAUAUUCCUUUUGUUUUUUGGAUGGUUGAAUUAUUUCAGUGAGAAGAAUGUGUGAACAAAUCUCGCACCUUCUUUUGCUAACAGGGGAAUGUGUCUGUGUUACUGGAGGCUUUUAACAAUCAUUUUUUAAGAUUUAGGAGUUACCUGUGAGAGGAUUAGGGGUUUUAAACACCACUUUUAGUCUGUUAUCUCUUAGGAGGAUAGGCUGUAUGUAUUUGGCAACUGUCUUUAGUACCUUGAAUUAUAGGUUGUAUGUUAUAUCAAAAGGUACUUUUCAGGUUUUGGUUUAUAUUCCAGGGGUUUUGUUCAGGGUAUUUUCACAGAUCUGUGAAUUUGUUUGUCUAUGAUUGUUGUUGGGUAACUGUAUGUUAUGAAUUGAACACUCUCUUCGGUGGUUGCAGAUUUCUGUCCCUGAGAGAGCUUUAUGGGCAUAUUUUACUGUACUUUUUUGCUUGACUGUCAAUGAUGGAGUGCUUGCGAUGUUUGGGAUCAAAGCUGUCAUAUUUGAUGUAUGAAAGUUGGUUGUGGUAUAGAGAUGUCUGUAUUGUACACUCUUGUACCUAGAUGAUGAUAUCUAAAAAAAUGAGAAUGUGUAAUGGAGAUGUUAAAGCUGAGUUUGGCUGUGAAAAUUAUUAAAUCUUUAAUGGAACUGGAGGAGAAUUUAUUCACCCACUGUCCAAACUAUCAGAAUGUCAUCAAUGUAGCAGAAGUAGGGCUGGGAUUUGAUGUUGCAGGUAAAGGAAGCUAUUCUAAAGUUUUGUAAUAAAUAGGUUUCCCUGUUAGGAUACAAAAUGUGCCCCCAUGGCAUUCACAGUCUCUUGUAAAUAUAUAUAUCUUUUCCAAAGGAGAAAUAGUUGUGUGUGCUUAUAAACUCAGCCAGAUGUAUAAUGCUCUCCAUGCGCAUGUUGUGUUGGAUACCAGAAAGUUGGAGUCCGCUAGCAACUGCACUGGAGUCAGGAUCUUCUCUGAGUAUUCUAAAAAAAUAUACAGUAUAUAGUGCAGACUAUCAGGGUAUGCAAAAUUAAAAGUAUAUCUGGGGAUCAACUCACAUGGAUCAGAGCCCUAUCACCCCUGGCUCUGGGUUUGAAUUGCUCCAAUGGAGUCUGCGCUAUAUACUGUAUAUUUUUUCAGAGUACUCAGAGAAGAUCCUGACUCCAGUGCAGUUGCUGGCGCACUCCAACUUUCUGGUAUGUAUUGCUAAUUUAUGUCACUGUCUGUCACUUGGGGGUAGUGCAGCAGCACUGCAGAUAUUCUUACGCGCUUUGACUCCAUCUGGUUUUUCUCUUUAAGCAUGUUGUGUUGGUCUAAGAUUUUUUUUGCUUCUUGGCAGGCAUUCACCGUCUUGAACAUAGCUGGCUGUACUCCUUAACAAGUGUUUCAGGAUAUUUUCCACCCACCCAGAGAUGUUUUCAGUGAAUGUUCCGACUCUAGAUAUUAUUGGUCUUCUUGGUUAUGCAUUUUUUGCAGCAUGUAGGAGUACCCUGUUUUGAUGAGUCUGAUAUAAGUGAAUGAAUAUGUGCUAGUUAAAGGGGGAUUUUUCUGAUUAUAUGUCUGAUUUUUAUAAAAAAUUAUAGUGUUGGAUCCUCCUGUUGUUUUCUAUAGCAUACGGUGUUGGAGAGCUGUUUCUGUGCUUUCUUAUUAAAGCCACUUCUAUCCAUGAUUACAAGUGCCCCACCUUUGUCUGCUUCUGAUGGCAAUAUCUUUUAUUAUAUAUGUCUAUAUGUUUUGUUUUAGUUACUGUGACGGUAGUCACCAUCACCUGGGGUUUCAUAAGGACCUUUUAUGUAGGACCCUGGACUAUUCCUAUGUUUAAGUCACCCUGUGUCCACUGUGGAUGCAGGGUGUGCGUGUGUAUGUAAUGUGGUUGUUUGAGGUUAAAUGUUAGUGUGUUCUCCUGUCUUGCUAAUGCUUGCAAUCAACUCGGUGGAUUUGGCUGUGGAGACUAUACAGUGCCACCUGUUGGUUGCAUGGAUCUAGCAACCGCUGUAUGCACUACCUGAAUAGCAAGGAUUGCUAAUUUGCAUAUUUGGGUAGAUUUGCAUAUUGCUAAUUCUGUUAAUUAAUUUCUUCCCCAUCCCUUUAUGAAUAUGUUAUUAUGCUAUUAUAAUUUCCUAUAUACUUUGUGACAUGUUUUGGUUAUUUUAAUUUUAUUAUGUUUGGCACAGCAAUAUAUAUGUAAUGAAUGUAUGGGGUUGUUCCCAAGUAAAAUAAAGUAUUGUAUGUUAGUUCCAUUAAGAACGGUGUACUGUGUGGAUUUUUUGGGGAUCCCAGCCACAGAGUUGUCGUGCCUGUUGACUGGCUGCAUGAUCCCUCUAGCCCUGGGAUAAAUCAUGAGAGCAAGGCCUGAGAGCCGAAAGUGCUUUUGUAAAGGCAAUAGAAAUCACAUUGCAGGCAGAGGUGGAUACCUGCCUGUAAGAAAGGCUGCAGCGGAAAAGACAGAGGGGGCGAUACCUGCCUGGAAGAAGUGUUGCAGCGGAAUAAGCAGAAGGGAUGAUACCUGCCUGGAAGAAGAGCUGCAGUCUGGUUGGGUGGAAAAGCUCCAGAAGGACCCCAGUAAAGCCAUGAUGACUGGGGCAGAAGAGCAGCAGUUUUCCCCGGUUCCAGCUAGAAAGCGAUCCUGGGCGGAGGUACCUAGCCGGUGUACAGGGAGCUCCACUACAGUUACCUUAUUGCAUUCUCUUUUUGAUUGAUUAGGAUGUACUCUGGUGCAGAAUUUGCUAAUAACCAUAUUUCUAAAUGCACCGGUGUAUGUUUCCAGUUGUGGUUUGUGUCCACAGUUGGGGAUUUAAUUUAAGUUCUUUCUUGGGGGGAUGAUUUCUUGCUUCCUUCUGCAAAAUGGUUCCAACUCCUUCUUAUCAAAGACAUAUUCCUUGAGGAAUAAUCUUUCCUGAAGUAUGACCAUGUCUUCCAAGUUGCUGCAGAGUUCUGUUUUGUCUAGAGGUUUUGUGGGACAGAAAUAAGUCCUUUGGAGUGUAUUUAGUGUUCCUCUCUAGUUGUUGUGCAGUGUGACUACACGGCUGAGUUGUUCUCUGAUCCUCUGGGUUUUAGUCACAGUUUGUUGAUAUUCUUUGUUUUGUUGUAGACCAGAAACUGUAGUAGCUCUGUAAUAUUGCUUAAGUCAAACUUUUACUUCUUCUGUUCCAGUUCUAUGUAGUGUGUUGUUGAGAGCAACUUCUCUUUCUGUAAUUGUUUUGCUCUUGUAGCAAACUCUGAAAAGAUGGUUCAGGAGUCUUUCUGAUGUUCUGGUACACAUUUGUUUCACAUAUUGGGUAUUGUACAGUGAGUGUUAAACCUCUAGGGAUAAGAUCUUCUGUUUGCAUCUUGUUAGAAGGAAUAUAUCACUGUCCAGUUGUGCCAGUUUCUUUUGAUCAUUUUCCAUCACAAACUAUUUCAUCCUAAAUAUGUGAAUUUGUUUUUAUUUAUUUUUCUUGUAAACUAUGUAUAAAUAUGUCUGUUUUUCCAACAAACAUCUUUCAUCAGCCAAUAAAGGUAUCACUUACACAGUGUUUUAUUUUACUCUAAUUUAGUUAACUGGCUAACAUUGUACCAAGAAAAAAAACAAUACUAUGAUGUGUCAAAGUGAGAAAUAGUUUUUUUUUUGCAAUAUUCUUGGUAGUUUCUAAUGAAAUGAAUGAGUUUAUGGAUAAUCAUCAACACACAAAAACAGAACAUUGAGUACGUAGGCAGUCAACUAAAACAAACAUAAAACAAACUAAAACAAACAAAAGUUAUUGGAGUUCCAUAACUAUUAAAAUUUUAGAGUGCUCCAACAAAUGCCUUAAUUUAAUAUUUUUGGAUAAGCUUUUUCAAAGGAUUUAAUAUUUUUACAUAUACUUUUAAAAGGUUGUAAAUAUAUAUAUAAAAUAUAUAUAAAAUAAAAAACAGUUAGUUUAAAGUAUUAAAUCAUUAAAAUCAUAUACUUUUAAAAUAUUGUAAAUAUAUAUAUAUAUACUAAAUAUUUUCUAAAAAUUAAAGUUUUUCCAAAAAUCUCAUAUCAUUUGAAAAGCUUAUCCAAAAAUAUAAAUCGAGGCCAGUGUUAGAAAAAAUAUAAUGUAUAUAAAUCUCAACUAAUGCUGUAAGUAAAUCACUGACAUAUACUCAAAUGAAUCAGAGCAUGGUGUCAUAGAGUUCCAUUUGAAGACAUAUUUAAUUUCGUACCUACUAUGUCAAUUUAUACUGUUGUCUAAAUAUAUGGAGAAUUUCAGAAGAGUAAGGUUCCGAGUAAUAUUUCAAAUACCUGACUUACAAGUUCCCCUAAAUGAAGAAGAUUGUGAAUAAAUUAUUGGACCUGAGGCAAGAGAAAUGUGUCACACUCCUGAAGUGAAUGAAGUUAAUGAAGUAAAAUUUCCAGAAUUAAGAUUUAUAGAUUCUCAUCCUCCAUCAUUAAGGGUAUUUAGUCUGCUUUGUGUCUUCUGCAACCUUGUCUGUAAUCAGAGGGUAAACAAGAUGUUAAAUUGUAUAACUCAACAAUAGAUUGAGUACCAAAGAAUUUAAAAUAAUAAUCCAUGCAUGUCAGAUGGUUUGCAGAUCAUUCUUUUCAGACUGCAGUAGUACUGCUAAAUGGAGGAUUGGUGCUAUAGAAUUUUCAGUUCUAUAAAAGACAGGAGGCUCAUAUUAUGCAAAAACCUUUACUUAACUACAUCAGCAACUACAUUCCAAUACAGUUUAGUGAACAAUAGAAGGAAAAAUUGUCAAAUAACUAAAAUGGAAUAUUCAGUAGCCAAUCAGCAUCCAGCAUAGUCUAUACAGAGAAUAAUCCCUAAUUUCCUUCACCUUUCUUUGCUGCUCCAGUGGAAAUAAAUAACACUAUAUAUAUAUAUAUAUAUAUAUAUAUAUAUAUAUAUAUAAAAGAUUAAUUUUUUUUCCAUUAGUUUAUUUAAUCUUUAGUUUUUGGUAUAAUUAAUAUUAUUUAAACUAUUACUAAUUUUUCUGAUUAAUAUUUACUUUUUUUCUGAUAUUUUCAUUACAUAUUCUUUAUAUUCUAAGGUAUAUAUUUUCUAGAAUAUAAAUAUAUUAUGUUUUAGUUUAAGUAUUAGUUUAUAUAUAUAUAUUUUAAAUUCUAUUAAUUUUUAUAUUUAUUAUUUGAAUUUCCCUUUAUAAUUUAUAAGAUUUAGUACCAAAUAAUUUAAAAUAAUCCAUAUAAUGUCAAAUAGUUUGCAGAUCAUUCUUUAUAGACCGUAGUACUAGUGCUAAAUGGAGGAUUGGUUUUAAAGACAUUUCAAUUAUAAUGAUAAUAUAGAAUGGGAACCUUGGAGGUAUCAGAUAAUUGCCUUAACAUAGUUACAAUGGCCAUCUGGCUAUCAAAAAACCAUGGAAAUAUUGCAUUAAUAUUCACAAUAUUAAUGUUCAUUCAAUUUAUAAAGUACUCUGACUGGAGCCCACCACAUUUAAAGAAGUUUAUAAGUUUUGACAUAAGGUUUAUCGACUUCUGCAUAUUACUUCUGCAGCAAUGCUGAAUGCAGUGUUAGUUGGACAAAUAAAUUGCCAACUGAAGGAGCUUGAACAGUAAAACACAUAUUGGAAAUCCAGAAGGCAUUGGGACUCUUUAUUUGCUUAUUAUUUAUAAAGUUUCAUCACCAGUAAGGCUUUUUUUUAAUGUUUUAUAAAUUCUUUAAUUUUGUUGUGCACUGUAAUAACAAAGAGUGAAUUAUGUGCACUCUGUAAAAAUCAAGGAAUAGGCAUAUUAAAUUCAGUAAGUGCAAGAUAUACAGCUGCACAAUUUUUAAGAGCAUUUGUAAGAGAAUACAGUAUGACGGUUUACACGAGAAUCAAUAGAGAGAUUGCGAGAGAAUUCAGAAAAAUAAAUUAGUUGUGUGCUCGGUAAUAGAUCACUGAUUAAUGUAUCGGGUUCCAGUGACAGCUUUGGUCUUGGUGGCGGUAUGAUUACCCUCGAACCUGGGGGAGAGGGGGUUGGCUUAAUGAGAGCCUUAAGUUAGGGAUCUACUGUGGUGUGACAGUAGUAUGGGAUGGUCAAUAACAGUACUAGGGGAUCUAUGGAACCUGGUAAUGUAGGUAGUAAAAGAGGCCUAUGUAGGCUCCUUGGUGUUUAGGGGCUCCACAGGGGGCAUUCAAAUAAUAGCCCGGUGGUGAAGGGCAAUGUGACUAGGUGUCCCUGGAGGAGAUGAUGAGUUGGAUAAAUCUACAUAGAAGGUAAGAGGUGAGUUCUCAACGUUGUAGGGAGAUUGCCCCCUGAGAGCACCAAUUACAACAGCCUUGUCCUGUCCAGUCUGGAAGCGCACAAUCAAGUCCCUUGAAAAUGUUUUAUUUUUUUUAUUUAUUAUCGCCAUUUGUAUAGAGCCAACAGAUUCCGUAGCGCUUUACAAUAUUAUUAGAGGGGGGAUUUAACUAUAAAUAGGACAAUUACAAGAAAACUUACCGAAACGAUAGGUUAAAGAGGGCCCUGCUCAAACGAGCUUACAGUCUAUAGGAGGUGGGGUAUAAAACACAUUAGGACAGAAAAUAGCAAUCAAAUUAGGUGGGAGUGAAGCAGAGCUGGAGGAGAGAGUAGAGAGCUGCCCUUUAAGAGAGAACAAGAGACAGGUAUGUGAAAUAGAGGUUAAUCUGGGAUGCCAUAGGCUUUCCUAUAGAAAUGGGUUUUAAGGUACUUCUUAAAUGAUUGAAGAAUAGGGGAGAGUCUGAUGUCGGUAGGCAGGCUAUUCCAUAGGAAGGGAGCCACCCGCGAGAAGUCCUGCAAGCGCGAAUUGGCCGUACGGGUGCAAGCAGCGAACAGAAGAAGGUCACGGGCAGAGCAGAGAGACCGAGAAGGGGCAUACCUAUGGAUCAGUGAGGAGAUAUAAGAGGGGCUAAGAUUGUUCUGUGCUAAGAAGUCAAUGUUAGGACUGACAGAGGGGUGAGGUGUGAGAGGACCGACUAGAGAGGAAAAUCAGUCUGGCGGCAGCAUUCAUUACAGACUUAGUGGGCUGGGAAGACCAAUUAGGAGAGCGUUACAAUAGUCCAUGCGAGAGAUUACUAGAGCAUGGACAAGCUCUUUAGUAGCAUCUUGUGUAAGAAAGGGGCGGAUGCGGAUGAUGUUUUUAAGGUGGAAUUGGCAUGAUUUGACAACAGACCAGAUGUGAGGCUCAAAGGUGAGGCCAGAAUCAAAAGUAACACCAAGACAAUGUGCUUGUAAGAAUGGGCUGAUAUGGGUACCACCAAUCUGAAGGGAGAGCGAGAGAGGAGGAUUAAUAUUAGGAGGAAGAAAGACAAGAAGUUCUGUUUCGGAAAAAGAUUCAGUUUAAGAAAGUGGGAGGACAUCAGAGAUAGAAGAAAGGCAAAAGGUGACACAUUGCAGGGCAUCAUGGGAGAGGUCUGGGGAGGAGAGAUAUAUCUGGGUGUCAUCAGCGUACAGGUGCUAUUGGAAUCCAAAUGAGGUAAUAAGUUUGCCAAGAGAGGCAGUGUAAAGAGAAAAUAGAAGGGGACCAAGGACAGAGCAUUGGGGGACUCCAACUGAGACAGGACGAAUGGUGGAGGUAUCAUAAGAAAAGGAGACACUGAAUGAGCGUUGGGUAAGAUAUAAGAUAGGUGGAAAACCAUGAGAGGACAGAGUCACAGAGACCGAGUGAUUGAAGAGUUUUGAGAAGGAGAACAUGAUCAACGGCGUUAAAGGCAGCAGAGAGGUCAAGAAGAAUUAGUAUGGAGUAGUGACCUUAGGAUUUAACUGUGAUAAUGUCUUUAGUGACUAUGAUAAGGGUAGUCUCAGUAGAGUGGAGGGGGCAGAAGCCGGAUUGAAGAGGGUCAAGGAGAGAGUUGGAGUUGAGGAAGCAGGCCAGAUGGGUAAAGACUAGUCUUUCAAGAAGCUUUGAGGAAAAAGGGAGCAGGAAUAUAGGACGAUAGUUAGAAGGGGAGGAUGGGUUGAGACAUGUUUUUUUUAAGGUACUACAGUAGCAUGUUUAAGGACAGCAGGGGCAGUGCCAGAAGUAAGAGAGCAGUUGAAGAUGUGUGUUAAGGAGGGCACAAGACAAGAGGAGAGAGAUCUGAUAAGGUGAGAUGGGACAGGAUCAAGCGGGCAAGUGGUGGGGCAAGAGGAAAGGAUAAGAGCAUCCACCUCUUGUUCAGUAGCCUGGGAGAAGGUCGGAAGGGUUGGAGAGGCAUGAUCCAGGUGCGGUUGAGAAAGUGAGGGGCAAGGUGGUGAGAAUUCUUUCCUAAGCUGCUCAAUCUUGUCAGUAAAUUAGCAUGCAAAACUAUUGGCUAUAAGGUUAGUUUGGGUGGUGGCCGUAGCAGGGCAAAGAGAGUUAGAGGUAUCAAAGAGAUGCCUGGGAUUGUGAGAGCAUGAGCUAAUAAGAGAAGAAAAGUAUGACUGUUUGGCAAGGGCAAGGGCUGCGCUGUAUGAACGCGAUAUGAAUUUGUAGUGUAGAAAGUCUGACUUGGUGUGAGACGUCCUCCAGCAGCGUUCAGCAGAACGGGAACAUCUCUGCAGGUAGCGUGUUGAUUUAGUGUGCCACGUUUGGGGGUGUAUUCUCCUCGAGGUGCGUAUUUGGAGAGGGGUUGCAGCAUCCAGGGCUGAGGUGAGGGUAGAGUUAUAUGAGGAGAUAGCCAGUGAGGGACAUGAGAAGGCAGGAAUGGAUAGUAGUUGGGAAUCAAUAUCAGCUGACAGCUGCUGGAGGUUUAUAGAACUCAGAUUCCUUCUGAGUUGAGGGGUUUACGCUGAGGUUGUUGGGGGUGGGGGCUAUUGAGAGCUGAUGUGACAGGAGCUUUGGCCGGUCUAGGAAUCCUGAGCAAUCCAUCAAUUGCCACCGAUUUCGCCUGUCUGUGGAAUAAGAGGUGUCUUAUAAAGUGCAGUAGUUCUGCAUCUGAGACCUCUGAUACCCCUCUGAAACCCAUCUAAUCUUAAGGUUUUUGCUGCGUCUGGAGUCCUCCAUCGAUGUGAACCACUGCUCGAGGGUAAUAUGCUGCCAUUGAAGUGUGUGCAGCUCCUGUUGCAGUUGAGUGAUUUGCUUUUUAGCAUUGUGUGAGUCAUCAUCCAGUGCGUCCAUGCAACCUGUCAGGCCUUGUAUGUCUUUGCGGAGCAUAGAUACAUCCGUUUGGAUGUUCCGUCUGAGGCUGCCAGCAAUUCCUGCAUGUCGACCUUGGUUACUAGUGGUGAGUCCAGUUUGGAUGAGGUUGGUACCAGAGUGGAUGUCGGUGCAUGUAAGGCAAGUAGGUGGAGGUCAUUAGGCCUCAGGGUUUGGUCAUCCAAGACGUCGGAGCUCUCUUUGAGGUAGGAUGCCAUUUUCGGGUUGUGGGGUGCCUUGCGCUUACCGCCAUAGGUCACCUAUGUUCAUGCCCAAUCUCAGCUUGUCUGCCUUCUGUUUCUUGGUCUUUCGACCCAUUGCUGUGUGGGCUUCUUAGGGAUCCAGUUGAGAUCAGCUGGUAUGGGGUAAAUGUUGGGUAUAUUGAUAGAAUUAGGCCUCGUGUUACGGAGCUCAACAGAUAUGUGACCGUUCUGUUCAGUUGCUCAUCUCUGCCCCACCAGUGUGGAUUUUUUAAUGUAAAUAUAUAAAGCAUUUAUACUUCACCUAUUUUGCAUCCUGCUGUCUACAGCUGGAAUCCUGCACAGUCUAUUUGGGAAAUGCUAUCAUUGAGGGCCCACUUUAAGCUAAAGCCCGGUCACCAGUCCCCUCCCCCCAACUUCCUUAACAUCCAUUCUAAAACAGAGCUCCAGGACUAUGGAAGUUACUUCCAGAAAACCUCUUAGUAUGGAAUCUCUGCAAAAGAUCUGCCUGCUAUAUAUACAAUAAAAUAUAUUUGAAAUAAACAAUUGCAUAUUUUUAUUUUGUUGUAUUUUAAACAUUUACUUUACAGAGUAAGUACACUAAAGUAAUAUAAAAUGUGUGGGGAAAAAAACACAUUUCUUUUUCAAUAAGCUGAGCACUUUGUGAAAUUGUAAUAAUUAAAAAAGAACAAUCUCUUGACCCAUCCUCCCCUUCUAACUAUCAUUCCAUAUCCCUGCUCCCUUUCUCAUCAAAGCUUUUGGAAAGACUUGUCUUUACCCGUGUGUCUCGCUUCCUUAAUUCCAACUCUCUCCUUGACCCUCUUCAGUCUUGCUUCCGCCCUCUCCACUCUACUGAGACUGCUCUUAUCAAAGUGACUAAUGACCUAAUCUCCGCUAAAUUCAAAGGUCACUACUCCAUAUUAAUUCUCCUUGACCUCUCUGCUGCCUUUGACAUUGUUGAUCAUGCUCUCCUCCUUCAAACUCUUCAAUCGCUCGGUCUCUGUGACUCUGUCCUCUCUUGGUUUUCCUCCUAUCUCUCCCAAUGCUCAUUCAGUGUCUCCUUUUCCAAGGAUACCUCCUCCCGUCGUCCUGUCUCUGUUGGAGUUCCCCAAGGGUCUGUCCUUGGUCCCCUUCUAUUUUCUCUUUAUACUGCCUCUCUUGGUAAACGUCCUGCAACAUGUCACUGCUUGCCUUUCUUCCAUCUCUGACUGGAUGUCCUCACACUUUCUGAAACGUAACCUCUCUAAAACUGAACUCCUUGUCUUUCCUCCUCCUAAUACUGAUCCUCCUCUCUUGCUCUCCCUUCAAGUCAGUGAUAUCCACAUAAGUCCAUCCCUGCAAGCACGCUGUCUUGGAAUCAUACUUGACUCUGGUCUCACCUUUGAGUCUCACAUCCAGUUUGUUGCCAAGUCCUGUAGGUUCCAACUCAAAAACAUAGCCCGCAUCCGCCCCUUUCUUACACAAGAUGCUACCGAGGAGCUUGUCCAUGCUCUAGUAAUUUCCCGCAUGGAUUACUGUAACCCUCUCCUGAUUGGUCUCCCCAAAAGCCGUAUUGCCCCGCUACACUCCGUAAUGAAUGCUGCAGCUAGACUGAUUUUCCUCUUUAGUCGGUCUCUCUCACACCUCACCCCUCUGCCAGUCCUUACAUUGGCUCCCUGCAUGCCAUAGGAGUCAAUUCAGAGUGCUAACCCAUACAUUUAAACCACUGAACAAUUCUAGCCCCUCUUAUAUCUCUUCACUAAUCCAUAGAUAUGCUCGUACCCUCCGCUCUGUCCGUGAACACCUCCUGACCGCUGCUCGCACCUGUACGGCCAACUUGCGCUUGCAGGACCUCUCGCGGGCGGCUCCUCUCCUAUGGAAUAGCUUGCCUACUGCCAUCAGACUCUCCCCUAGUCUUCAAUCAUUUAGGAAGGGCCUUAAAACCCAUCUCUUCAGGAAAGCUUAUGGCCUCCCAGAGUAAUCUCUACCUUACAUACCUGUCUCCUGCUCUCUCCUAUGGGAUAGUGCUUUGCUCUCUCCUCCAGCUCUGCUUCACUCCUACUUGAUAUUUCCUGUCCUAAUGUUUCUAAUACCCCACCUCCUAUAGUCUGUAAGCUCGUUUGAGCAGGGUCCUCUUCAACCUAUUGUUCCUGUAAGUUUUCUUGUAAUAGUCCUAUUUAUUGUUACAUCCCCCCUCUCAAAAUAUUGUAAAGCGCUACGGAAUCUGUUGGCGCUAUAUAAAUGUCAAUAAUAAUAAUAAUAAUAAUAAUAAUAGGAGAGAUAUGUAAAAGUAUACCAACAGCUUGCUAUGUGCCAUAUAAAUAAACAAUUGCGUAUAUAAACCCAUAAUCCAGUAGACACGUGGAAUCUAUAUAAAUCCAUCACCACCUGCACAUGAUUGUUUAGUUUGUUGUUGUUUUUUUUUUUUUUACCUGUACACUGUAGUGAAAACAGGGUGACUGGUUUUCUGUUUGGGAUCCGGAAAUGUCUUGUGUUAUGUCAUUUGUCCUUGCUACUCUGGCACCAGGAAUCACCACAGUGAUUCUUCAGGGUGAAGUUUUGCCCUCCACUAACUGUUAGGUGUCAUCUUAUCUGGCUACUUCUCCCAGGCUGGUGUCAUUUUCUUUUUCUACUCGGUCUUUUUUAACUUACAGACGCAAGUGAUUAUGCUCUCUUCCAACAGGUCCACAGACUGUAAUGUUUCACCCUCAAAUAACACAGAUAACACUAUAAUUUUCAAGUCAUGCAACAGCAGAGGUAUGGUCUACCAGGUCUUUUCCCAUUAAAAUCUCAGCCACAAAGCAAUUCAUGAUGCCUACUUCUUUUUCCCUGCUGCCAGUGCCUCAAUCAAGGUGGACUUUAGCAGUGGGUAUUUUGCAUAGCCCCUGGUGGGGCAGUCCUGAUUUGGGGGUCCUGUCUUUCCUUAGACGCCUGGUGUUCCACAUCUGGAGAAACCAGGGAACUGCCUUUGGGCAGCACAGUGCAAGAGCAUCAUUCAAUGUGUUUGUGCUAUGCAGCGUUACUAGGACCAUGCAGAGAGUACUCCAGCAGUUGGGAUGUGUGCAUUUGUAUGGUGGGCAAUUUACAGCCUGACCAUUGUUUAGUCACCUCCUUGAGGUUGCUGUAUGAACAACAGAGGUCUUAUAAUAUUUUGUAUAUAUAUACAAUACUAAUAUCAGUUUGGGAAGUAAUGUGCAUGUGUCAUGCGUCAGAGACAUGUUGCUGCCUAUCCAGAGUACAGCCGCAAUGUAUUCCACUUAUAUAUAACACUUUCAAAGUAUAUAUAUAUAACACUUUCAAAGUAUUAUUUUCAUAAUGUAUUCAAAUAAAUGAAGGGUCAACAUGUGUCCCUUUAAAGUGACACUAAUCAUUUUAAGUAUGGUUUAUAAAAUUAAAAUUAGACUUGUACUUAUACCUUUACAAUCAGAUACACAUAUUCUGAUCCCUCUUGCCUCACAGCAGAUUUAUCAGUAUGUGCACCAAACAGUCAGCAGUUGCUGCAAGGCAUCAUUAAAGUCUUGGUUGCCUUUGUAUAGACGGAUUUAUUUUAAGUGAAAUUGGUAUAGGGAAUUCAAUAACGAAAUUGUAUAUGUAUAUUUUAGUUUUGCAAAACAAUACAAGAUGAAAUUUAGUCAAUAAAGUCCCAGUUAUUUUACUUUAUACUCCUGGAGAAACAUUCACCUUAGAGAGAAACAUAUUCCUCAACAAUGGCUCAAUUCUGGCACUUUGAAUCUUUGCAAAUAGGCUGAAAAUGUCAGUCUCAUUCCUACCACAUAGUAUAGUAAUAUUCAGAGGAAAAAAAAUGUAUUGCUUAAUUCAGUCAGGGAGAGGUAGAGAAUGCUCUGGUGUCACCUUUAGCAAUAUAGAGAUUAGCACAGGUAUCACUUUGCAAAUGCACAUAUUUUAUAAAUUAUUGUUUUACCUAAUUUGUUGUGGAUAUUAUGUGUACAUAUAGACUUGUAUGUAUAUUCUGUUGAAAUUUUAGGAGACUGUAUUGUUAACUAUGUAAAUAAGGGCUUGGUCUUAUUUAUUUAUCUAUUUUGUAUUAACAUUUAUGUGACGAGACCAAUCUCGCCACAUUGCAUUGGAGAAGCCUGGUUGCUCGCCUGCUGCCUUUGGACUAUGGCCCCCUUUUAAAAGACUUUAUUUUUGCCUGCAGAAAAGCUGUAUUCGUGCUUUUCUGCCUGGGGUUCAGUAGAUUUGUUUGAAUGUGUUAUACCCCAGAUAGGAAUCCCAUGGAGCCCAUUCGUAUGAAACUGACUGUAAAGACUUUAGCUCCAUGGCGAUUAAACUGUAUUCGUGUGGUCUGAGCGCCAUUCACUUAAUAAUGUGCGCUCGGACCUGAGCUAUCUGGGGAUAUGUUACAUGUCUGUGUUUUAUGUAAUAAAUGUGACUUUAUGUAUUUUAAAGUGUUUUGUGUCUCUUUGCAACCAUGUGCUUAAUGGAGUCUUGUGUCUGUCCUGGGAGAUAAUUGAAUUACUUAUCUCCAGGAUAGAAAACUCUGAAACUGGUUUGGGCCAGAAAGCCAUGCUUCAUUUAGUCACAAAGGACUUUUUACAAACUUUUGAACCCCUUGUCUGAUUUGUGCCAUUUUUGAAUAUGUUGUUCCCCUGAAUGGAUUGAUUGAGAAUAUGUAAUUUUAUGUGAAUGUGAUGUAUGGUUUUGGAGUUAUGAAAGUUGGGUAGAAAGUAUGUUUUAACUGUUUGUAUAAUUGAGUUUCCUCUCAGGAUAAGGGGAGGGAAUAUGUGGGAUGUAACUGUGAUAUGAUUGGUUGUUUUAUCCCUCCCUGUGGGUGGUCCUGUAUUUGAAACACUGUAAUAAAAACCAGGCUGGGUGUGCCAGCACCUCAGACCACUGCUUGACCCUCAACACGGAGCCUUGUCUCGUUCUUGGGGGGAUUCACUGUAUGCUGUUAGAGACUGAUUGCCAGGAGUGUAAGCUGUUCGUCUGCUUUUCCUGUUCGUCUGCUAGCAGCUAUUUGGGAGGUUCCAGUUCGGGAGUUGGAGUGCUAUUUUGUAUCCAGUUCGUGAGUUUUGGUGUUCUGCAGUAGCUGUGCCUGGAUCUCUGGAAAGGGGGCCGAUCGCCUAAACGGUUUUUACCCCUUGUGUGCAAAACGGUCCGUUACAAUUGGUGGCAAGCGGCGGGAUCGUUCCUACAGCCAGAAGGACAGCUACAGGAGACACCAUUUCUUUGGAUUUACAAGUGGGGGCAACGCAUGUCCCAGUACAGCGACCCUAAAAGCACCAGAAUGGAACCAGCAGUGUUAUACAAGGAGGAGGACCUGGAUGGCCGGGAUGCAUUAAGGAAAGGCAUCUGGUACCAGGCCCUGGAUAAUGUACAAUACCAGCGGGGUGAGAGUCUCCCCAGUGAAGAGCAGCGGUUGCAGAAGCAAGUGGCCCUGCGGAUGCCCUUCCUGGGAGAGCAGCCCCUGGAGGAAUGGGUGAAGGAACUAGAGCAUCGGGUAUGGCAGGAGCUAUGGCUGGAGGAUGCCUACCAGGCGCUCUGGUGGUAUAUGGCACACUAUAUACUCUGGACAGCUGAGCAUGACAAGCCAGAGGGAGAGGAGUUUGAUGGUCCUGGCUUGUUAUGGGAGGCUUUUUCAGAGCCUGAAUUUGGGAGCCCUACACAAGCCCGGUUCAGUGAUCUCUUGGAGUGGAGGGAGAGCAGGUAUGACUGGGACGACACUCACGACAUUGAGCAAGACCUGGCUCACCUAGCAACCCUGGAGUGGGAACUGGAGCAGGACUACCGAGAUCUCUUCCACUCCAUUGAGAAGAUUCAGCAGGACAGCAAGGUGACAGAGCCAGACCCAUUCAGAGGGGACGAGAUGGUACAGUUUUACUGGGAAGAACCCCAGGUGGCCGGUAGAGAUGGGACCAAGGUCUCUCCACCGGUCCUGCAGGGAAUUGAGAGCCCAGUCUCCAUUCCCCAGCGGCAGUGUAAAGUGCAGGGAGAGGAGAGCAGUAUCCUCCCUCCCCAGCGGCAGGCUGAGUUACAGGGGGCAGAGGUAGUUGUUCCUGCCCCCCAGCAGCAGAGUGAUAUGCCGGGAAGGCAGUGUAAAGUGCAGGGAGAGGAGAGCAGUGUCCUCCCUCCCCAGCGGCAGGCUGAGUUACAGGGGGCAGAGGUAGUUGUUCCUGCCCCCCAGCAGCAGAGUGAUAUGCCGGGAAGGCAGUGUAAAGUGCAGGGAGAGGAGAGCAGUGUCCUCCCUCCCCAGCGGCAGGCUGAGUUACAGGGGGCAGAGGUAGUUGUUCCUGCCCCCAGCAGCCAAGUGAUAUGCCGGGAAGGCAGUGUGAAGUCCAGGGAGAGGAGAGCAGUGUCCUCCCUCCCCAGCGGCAGCGUGAUUUUUUGGGAAUUGGGAGCCCAGUCUCCAUUCCCCAGCGGCAGUAUGAUGUUUUGGGAAUUGGGAGCCCAGUCUCCAUUCCCCAGUGGCAGCACAGAUUAUUGGGAAUUGGGAGCCCCGUCUCCAUUCCCCAGCGGCAGAGUGUCCUACCGGGAAUAGAGAGCCCAGUCUCCUUUCCCCAGCAGCAGGACUCUGUAUUGGGAGCAGAGACAGUCGGUCUCCCUUCUCCGCAGCUGGAAGUAUGUAUGAGAGAGGAGCAUGUUACCCCCUCUCCCCAGCGGCAGCUUAAUGUAUCAGGGGGAGACAGUAAGCCCCACAACUGUGCAGAUGGGACCAUAGUCUCUACACUGCCAGCACAGGGGGUAGGGACGGUCGGUUCUGCCCCCCAGCGACAGGGCUGUUUAGCCAAAGGGGAGACAGUCGGUCUCCCCCUCCAGCAGCAGAGAUGGGUAACCAAAGGGGAGACGGUCGGUCUCCAGCAGCAGGACUGUGCAUCUAAAGGGGAGACAGUCAGUCUCCAGCAGCAGGACUGUGCAUCUAAAGGGGAGACAGUCAGUCUCCAGCAGCAGCAGCAGAGCGGUGUAUUUAAAGGGGAGACAGUCGGUCUCCCCCUCCAACAACCAGGCUUCCACCAGGCUACCCUCCCAGUAGCGCAGGCAACAGGGCAGAGUGCCGCUGGUCUCUGCCCACGCAGCAACCCACCAAGUCAGCGUACCCGUACCCAGCCCAGCCGUGGUGAGGCACCUGGACAUGGACAAGCUUCUCCUUUACCCAGGUGUAGUAACCAUUUAUUGUGGGUGAGCUGUGCUGUUGAUUAUUUGUUGUGGGUGGGCUGCUGGACUAACAAGGGCACUGACCGGCAGGAGGUCAGAUACCCUGUUAGUCUGUUUGGAAAAGGGGAGAGAUGUGACGAGACCAAUCUCGCCACAUUGCAUUGGAGAAGCCUGGUUGCUCACCUGCUGCCUUUGGACUAUGGCCCCCUUUUAAAAGACUUUAUUUUUGCCUGCAGAAAAGCUGUAUUCGUGCUUUUCUGCCUGGGGUUCAGUAGAUUUGUUUGAAUAUGUUAUACCCCAGAUAGGAAUCCCAUGGAGCCCAUUUGUAUGAAACUGACUGUAAAGACUUUGGCUCCAUGGUGAUUAAACUGUAUUCGUGUGGUCUGAGCGCCAUUCGCUUAAUAAUGUGCGCUCGGACCUGAGCUAUCUGGGGAUAUGUUACAUGUCUGUGUUUUAUGUAAUAAAUGUGACUUUAUGUAUUUUUAAAGUGUUUUGUGUCUUUUUGCAACCAUGUGCUUAAUGGAGUCUUGUGUCUGUCCUGGGAGAUAAUUGAAUUACUCUCCAGGAUAGAAGACUCUGAAACUGGUUUGGGCCAGAAAGCCAUGCUUCAUUUAGUCACAAAGGACUUUUUACAAACUUUUGAACCCCUUGUCUGAUUUGUGCCAUUUUUGAAUAUGUUGUUCCCCUGAAUGGAUUGAUUGAGAAUAUGUAAUUUUAUGUGAAUGUAAUGUAUGGUUUUGGAGUUAUGAAAGUUGGGUAGAAAGUAUGUUUUAACUGUUUGUAUAAUUGAGUUUCCUCUCAGGAUAAGGGGAGGGAAUAUGUGGGAUGUAACUGUGAUAUGAUUGGUUGUUUUAUCCCUCCCUGUGGGUGGUCCUGUAUUUGAAACACUGUAAUAAAAGCCAGGCUGGGUGUGCCAGCACCUCAGACCACUGCUUGACCCUCAACACGGAGCCUUGUCUCGUUCUUGGGGGGAUUCACUGUAUGCUGUUGGAGACUGAUUGCCAGGAGUGUAAGCUGUUCGUCUGCUUUUCCUGUUCGUCUGCUAGCAGCUAUUUGGGAGGUUCCAGUUCGGGGGUUGGAGUGCUAUUUUGUAUCCAGUUCGUGAGUUUUGGUGUUCUGCAGUAGCUGUGCCUGGAUCUCUGGAAAGGGGGCCGAUCGCCUAAACGGUUUUUACCCCUUGUGUGCAAAACGGUCCGUUACAAUUUAAAUUUGACAAAAGUUACAUAUUUGUUUCCAUGCUAAUAUUGCAGAUUCUGUGUGAAAAUCUGCAAGAUAAUAAAUACUGUAUUGCGUCUGAAAUGUUUUUGCCUAAAAAAUAUAUGUAAAGGAUGAAGAAUAGUUGAACAUGUAUAUACAAAAUAGAUAUAUAAAUAAGACCAGGCCCUUAUAGACAUAGUUAACAAUAAAGCCUCCUAAAAUUGCAAGAGAAUGUACAAACAAGUCUAUAUGUACACACAAUAUCCACAAGAUAUUACAUAAAACAAUAAUAUAUAUUCCUCAACAAUGGCUCAAUUCUGGCACUUUGAAUCUUUGCAAUUACACUGAAAACGUCAGUAUUAUUCCUACCACCACCUAGUAUAGUAAUAUUCAAAUAAAAAAAAACAACGAAUAGGUCUUUAUCAAGAUCAUGAUAAAGACCUGUUUGGUCAAAACGUUGAUCCAUAUUGGCAACCAUUUGAAUACACUAUUUUGAUUUGGAAAUCCACUGAGUGCUCUCAUCAUUGAUAUAUCAUAUAUAUAUAUAUAUAUAUAUAUAUAUAUAUAUAUAUAUAUAUCUUAAAAUGCCAUGGCUUAGAUUGGUAUAAACAAACAAACAAACAAACAUGUAUUCUAUUAAAAUAAGGAUAAGGAAAACAACGUUAAUUUGCUAUUCCAUAUAUAUCCGUCAUGUUUUACCAAAUUUACUCUAUAUAGUGUCCAGUGCUUUAUGUUUCAGGUCACAUUUACCCGCUCAAUGAAAGAUUGGAUGAACAUGGUUUGAGUGGAUGUAGACAAUUUUAGGAGCUGAGCAACAUUUCUCUGCUCCAUUUAUCGAAUAAUGGGCAUUUUGGAUUCUUUUUAUCUCUACUUUAAACAGCUUGCUAUCUUGAUUACUGCUAUUUAAUUAAAUAUUUUCUUAUCUCUUGUCUCCUUCCUACUUCUAUUCACCUCUUUUUCUCUGCUUCUUUAUUUAUUUAUUAAUAUGUUUCUUGCUAUGAAAGCAUCAGAUUGUUUUUAGUUAUCAUUUUAUUUUGUAGUGUUGAGUGUUUUGCAUGUAUCUUAGCUACCUUCAUAAUGACAUAGCAAAAACCAAAGAUGCAUGGUUUUUUAGUCACUGAGCAUGAAAAUAUCAUUAUGAAUUGUAAGACAUGGCACGCUCGCUGGGCAGAAUUAUAUAAGAAAUAGAUUCUUGGGCAAAUCAUUCUUGAUUUCUUUCUACAGCUCUGAGCUGUGUUGGAUUUCCACUAGUUUUGCACACCCAUGCUUUUUUGUUAAUAAUCAUAGUCUUUUUCUAAGAAAUAUAAGGAAGUGUGAGGAAUAAAUUAUAAAUGCAUAUUUGAAGGAUAUUGCGUUGCAUUUAAAAAAACAAACAAAAAAUUUACUAAUCAUAAAUACCAAAAAUACCAUGAAUACCAUGAAUACACAAAACACCACCAAAAGCAUACAUUUGACUUAUGUGUGCUACUUGGUGUUUUGUGUAUUUAUGCCUUUUGGUACAAACUGUAAGGCCUUGAUUUAAUAUUUUUCAAUGUCUUAAAUAUUUUUUGGAUACACUUUUGAACUAAUUAUUAUUAUUAUUAUUAUUUUUGAAGUGCUAACAAAUUCCUUAGCGCUGUACAAUAGGUGGACUAACAGACAUGUAUUUGCAACAGGACAAGCUGGACGCACAGGAACAGAGGGUGUUGAGGGACCUACUCAAAUGAGCUUGCGUUCUAGAGGAAAUUAUUUCGUAUUUUGAAAUAUUUGUAAUUUGUUUUUGAUAUUUUUGAUAUACUGGUAUAUUUUAUUAUCUAUGAUUUAUUUUUUAAUAUUUUAAUAUUAAAAAAAUUAUUUUAAAAAUAUUAAAUAAUUUCAAAAGCUUAUCCAGACAUAUAAGAUUGAAGCUUAGGUCAGUUGUUUAUCUAAAUCUUUAUUUUAAAUCUCUAGUUCUGAAAAGACUCAAAAUAAUAUUGAUCAUAAAAGAAUGGACUAAUGUCUAAUUACACAUUCCUAUCUAUCAAUAAUCAUAAUUGUAAAUAUGAUUUGCAGUGCAGAGGUAAAGCUGGUUUUUCACAAUUUUUGCUGUAAUAAUGUUUAUUUUGUCAACAGAAUCUUCAUGAAUCUUCUCCCAAGCUCUAGAGAUCAACUGAGUGCAGGAAAUGUUAAUAAUACCUGAUUUAUAGGCAGAACAUUUUCUGGUGUUUGACUCUUAUGCACAGAGCAUUUUGCAAAAGCCAUACAAAAUGUAAUUAUGCUAAGCUAUGGAACUGGGCAGUGUCAGAAAAAGGUAAAAUAUAACUUUGUUUAAUUUAGUUAAAAUUUAAAAUCUAUAAAUCACAUCUUUAUAUUCCAAAUGCUUGCUAAAUGUUAUGUAUUCUCUUGCUGCUUUCCCAGACUAGUGUCUGGGGGAGUUUUUUUUUUUAAACUAUACAGAUGGGAAAUUGGAAAUAUAAAAUGAAGGUUAUAUUUCAUUCACUAGUGUCUGAUAAUAUCAUCUAGCUGAUUUACAUUUCUUAAGGCAAAGUCAGAUAACAAAGACAAUUAUUGCAGACUGUCUAAAUCAAAUUACCAAUAAUUUUGACAGUUUGUUCAUGGCACAAGAUCCUAGUAUAGCGAUGGCAAACCUAUGGCAUGCAUGCCACAGCUGGCAUGCUGAGCCCUCUCUGUGGGCACGCAGCCAUAGGUCGUUGGAUCGCUACCCAGGUGGCAAUGCAGAGUAGGUACCUGCCUGAACAAAACGUCAGGCGCCUACUCUGCUUUCGUAUCGUUGGUGGGUGAGUGGGAUGGAGGGCUGCAAAGGAACACUGACUUACAUGCUGUUCCAGCACUGCUCCCUUCGCACCCUAUGCUGAUGCCGCCAGGUGGCAGUGAAUGACGUCAAUCAGGCGGCGCCUGUCUCCCGGCGGCAUCAGCGCAGGGAGCAGUGCUGGAACAGCAGGUAAGUCAAUGCUCCCUCGUGCCCAAACCCUCUCACAGCUGCAGGAAGGAAUCGGAUCCACCAGUUAGGGAGCCAGGGUGUACUUCAAACCCCCAUCACCACCAAAAAAAAUUAAACAUUAUUUAUGUGCUGGGAGUAGUGAAGGGAAGAUGUUGAGGGGAGAGAAGAGGAGAUUCUGAGGGAGAGAAGAGGAGAUGCUGGGGGAGAGAAGAGGAGAUGCUGGGGGGGAGAGAGGAGGAGAAUCAGGGGGAGAGGAGGAGGAGAUGCUGGGAGAGAGAAAAUGAGAAUAUAGGGGAGAGAAGAGGAGAAUAUGGAGGAGAAAAGAGGAGAUGCUGGGGGGAGAGAAGAGGAGAUGCUGGAGGAGAGAAGAGGAGAAUCUGGGGGAGAGGAAAAGGAGAUGCUGGGGGGAGAGAAGACGAGAUGCUGAGGGGAGAGAAGACGAGAUGCUGGGGGAGAGGAGGAGGAGAUGAUUGGAGAGAGGGGAAGGAGAUGCUGGGGCAGAGGAGGAGGAUGAGAUGCUGGGGGAGAGGAGGAGGAGGAGAUGCUGGGGGAGAGGAGGAGGAGGAGAUGCCAGGGGAGAGGGAGAUAGGCUGUGGGUAGAGAAGGGAAGAUGCUUGGGGGAGAGAAGAGGAGAAUUAGUUCGGACAACUUUAUGAGGUUUUUUUUCUAAACUUAAACCUCAGUAUUCAAGUUUAAUUGCCGUGUUGGCAAUUUGAGGAAAAAAAGUCGGCAUGUAUUUCAGUUUGGGCACUCGGGCUCAAAAAGUUUUGCCAUCACUGUCCUAGACCUAGACUGUUAACCAUGGCCUUGUGUGAAUUAAUAAAUUGUAAGUCACCUCGAAAAGCUUAAACAGAGGGUUGUUCUAUAGGCUGUUCUAUAGACUGCCCCUGUAGACUGGAGUUUAAGAUGUCACUUUAAGAUAGAUAAAGACGUUAGUACCACUUUUAAUUAUAUGCGUGUGAUAUGUUGGCAUUCUUGAGUAAAAAAAUAUGUAUCCACUAAAGAAAAUGAAGAAUAUGUCUGUCUUGCAGCAAAAUCCUUGUUUCCGAUCCACCUCCGGUAGCUUAUAAUUCAAUCAAGAAUGCCCCAGAGAUAUCUGAACAAAUCAUUGUCUCCUACUAAUAUCAGUUUGGGAAGUAAUGUGCAUGUGUCAUGCGUCAGAGACAUGUUGCUGCCUAUUCAGAGUACAGCCGCAAUGUAUUCCAUUCACAACUUUAUUGUGGACUCCUAUUCAUUCAUGUGGAAAAAUGCAAGACAUGCUCUAUAGCCUCUCUGACAAAAUAAAGAAAUGUCAAUGGCAUAAAUAAAGAACUGGAAGCAGAAGAUAUGAACAUUAUUCUACAUACAUUUACAUUAUUAUUUCACUAUAAUCUGAAUUGUGAUACCUCGAAAAACACAUUUAUAUAACUAAGGCCAAAAUAAGUGAAUUAAGGAAGUUCUGUUAUGAAUACUCACUCUUAUAACUUGCGGAUAGCUUACCUGGAUAGCUUGCUCGUUGUCACACAAAAAAAGCAAUUGACGUAAAGCCUCAGCCACUUGUUUCUUUCUUCCAACAGGAGGACAGAAAGGUGCUCAGAAACAUACAAGAAGUUGUAUGUUCUGUGUUUUGAUAUUUCCCAUCAGUUGUCACUCGCAAUGGCUGACUGGAGUAGGCAUCUUCUCAUCCCGUGUAACUGUGUACUUAUAUUUUUGCUAAGGGUUAAAGGCAUGAAGGUUUACUCUAGAAUGCAUUAGGAUCAAUUUUUAUCCCACUCUAUUAUUGUGAGUUAUUUCUCUCUAGAGGCCAAAUAGCAGUCAUAUAUUCAUUUAUUUCUUUUUUUGCUGGGCAAUUUCCCCCACAUUGUUUUCCUUGUACUCCAACUGUUAUAUUCCUUUGUUUCUCUUUUAUAAACCCCUUUUACCAAAAUUAGAAUCAGGUCUGUCCAACUCAUCUGAAAGUAAAUUCCAUUCAGAGGUCUAGAACUCUUUGUCCACAGCGUGCUUUACAUUUGUUGUUUUAUUACAAAUUUGAAUGUUUUAUUAUUUUUUACAAAAAUUAUAUACAAUGCCUCAGACUAUUAAAUGCCGGUACAACCAUUUUGUGAGUAUUAGUGUGUAUCCAUUUUGUGUAUGAGCCGAUUAGCAGGUAGAGUCCAUGUUUUAAGACACAUCCAUACAAUCCAGCUUAGAAUAACCUCCCCAGUUAAAUGGUACUUUCCACUCAUAGUGUUGGUGAAAAGGCUGUGCCCAUUUUCCCAUUGUCCUCCCCUGCAAGGCAGAUUGGUUGUUGUCCCUCUACCCAACUCAGGAUCUCAUUAUGCUACAAUAGCUACUACUGCCCACCCAACAGACUUCCAAUUGUAAGGGACACUGUAGGUCACCAUAACUGCUUUAUCUCAUUUAACUGGUUAUGAGAUCUGAAGUCUCCUGGUGCUGUCCUUUCAUUUAGCAAAAAAAUUAAAUACAUUUCAGCCUCUUGACCUUAAUCAUGUCUGAUGAUUCUUUCUACAUAUAUGCUGUUAAUUUGUGUUAUGUUUUCCCUCCCUGAAACAAUUUGUCUUCCUGAUGGAGUAUUCCUACUUUUAAAUGAUCACAGAGAAUUUAAAACUGUAGGUCAAAGUAAACUAAUUAAAAAAAAAUACCCAAAUCAUCUAUAGUUCUGUUAUGCUGUCCUAAAAUUCUAAAUCCACAUUGAGAUUCCCCAAAAUUCACACCUUAGUGAAUAACUGUUAUUGUGUUAAUGCUUAUGAUAAAAAAUGCAGUCAUAUUGUUAACCUCCUUUCCAGAAAUAGCCUCUAAAACUUUUAAUAUCAGAGAAGAAAAGAUCCCCCGGUGAUCAGACGAGUAUUGUAACAAUUGUCCAUAAUUGCUGAAGUACAACAGACGGCUCAUAUUUGUUUCUAUUAAAAUUUUGUAAACUCAACAUCUCUCUUAAAAAGUUCAAUUUGUUUUUGUUGUCGAUAUCUAAUAGGAGGAAUAAAAGCGUUCUGGUUUUACAGUUCAUUUUACAGGCUGUGGAAAAUUGAUGCAGCACUGUCUGAAAAUAAAGCAAAUUGUAAUACCUGCUUAUUAGUUCAACUUGAGAAUGUAAAAUGGAGUCAUAAAGAGCUAACUGCAUUGUGAUAAGACAAGGCUUGAAUGUCUUAUUGUCUUGUAAACAUAACUGUGAAAAACAUGUAGAAUUACACGUGCUUGUGAGCUUUAUCAUAUUAUUAGGUCAUUUAGGUGCCGGUGUUGUUUGCAGUACUGUGUUUUAAGUCGUCUUGCCAAAUUGCCUAGCAAUAGAGUAGAUUAUUCUUGGCCCAUUCACAGAAUCUAUAGCUCUGAAGCUAGCACUUCAUUGAUUUUCUCUCUGCACGACUGAUAACCGAAGACAGAGGGGGAGAAAGAAGGGCUCAGUCAAACAGUAGAGACUUCAGACUUGUUUAUUGACUGCCUGCUCAGGCAGCAGCAAGUCUCUUCUCUACAUUGAGGUAAUCUAUUGAGCUAAUUUACUAAUCUCCAGAGCAAAUGUCAACACACGAUAAAAUGUGAUUUCACACAAGCAAAGUGCUCUCAAAUGGAAAGUCAUAGCCCGUAUGUAAUCUCAUACACUGUAUCGAUGUUAUAUAAAAAAUAAUCAAGUUUUCCUUCAACUACACAAUGUGGACAAUACAAGUUUGGACAAUACAUAAUGGUCAUGGUAAAAAUAGCUAAUAUAGCUUAAGCUUAUACCAGUAAAUGGCGGUUUGUAUUAUUUUUUUUUCCUUUUUUAUUAUUAUUAUAUAUUGGGAGAUAGAAAAUCCUAUGAGGAACAUGCUUCAUUAAAUCACAUCCUGAUUUAUAAUAUAAAUUAUGUAUAUAUGAAGGACAAGGAAGAGGUAAUAACUUCUGGCACAAAGGUGAACUAAUGGCAGUACUUAAUUAGAGACUUUUGGAUAAUAUAAUUUAUUUAUUAUUCUUUAUUUUAUUUUAUUUUUUUAUCAAAGUCAAAACAGCAUGUUUGAAAUGUUAAUUUGCAAUCAAUAAAUGCAUUUGCAAAGGUCACAGUCCAUUCUACUUUCAAAAUGCUAAAAUGCAGGUUUUGACUAAUUUACAUAAAACAUUUUUAGUCUUAAAUAAAAAGCAGAUAAUUGUUUUCAUAUACAUGGCUUCUCGUCUUUUGGUAUUUUAUGAUCACAUAAAAUUCUGUCAGCAUGUUAAUCUAAUGCAUUGUGUAUCCAAAAGUUGGCUGUUUGAUCGGUGAUAUGGAUAGAUUUUAUUAACUGCAAUUGCAUAAGUGCCUGGAUAAUGACUAUACCGAAAUGUUUCUAAUUGUCAUACUUGUCUCCUUAUUUGUAAGAUAAAAAAUGGACUCCAUGUUUUUGCUUCAGGCUGAUACAGUGGUAUUUACCUUAGCUUAGUCUCCAACUCCUAGACCUUUGUGCUUUUUGAGGUGGAACAGGAUCAUUUAGUGUUUUAGUUGUUUAUUUUCCUGGUGACGUCUCGUAGUUUGGUUCCCUUCUUUCACUACCAUGGGUGGAAGAAGAAGAGAUCUCUGGAUAAGGAAAUAUUAAAGCGCCAAGUUAUCGUGUCGUGAUUUAUAUGAGAUUUUGGUAAUAUAUUUUAAGGGAUGAGAGUAUUUAUUUUGCCGUUAUCUUUUGUACUCUUCCAAAUCAUAAAUGUGGCUACUCUCAGGAGAUGACUGGUAAAAAAAAAAAGUGGUAAAAAUGUUUAACUUGUACAUUUGUUUUGUGUGUGUGUGUGUGUGAGAGAGCAUGGUCUUGCCCUCUGUUGCAUAUUGUUUAGAUAACUGGCUAAAAUGAUCCAAUUAUUUUAUUUUGCCAUAAAUUAUCUUUUGUUGAUAUCUGAGAUCUUAUUAAGGGGCAGAAUAUGAUGCAUUUUAACAAAUAGGAUGGGUGUAGGUUUUCAUUAUGAGUACGGGGUUUUAAUUAUGAAACUGGAUGGAAAUUAAAACCAGCAAUACUGCAUGUUGAUUAUGUGAAUUUUUAUAUUAUACUUAGUAUCUCAUAAUAUUUUAUUAAGAGCUGUGGGUUGAGACAGUCAUUAGCAUUGUAAGAGGAAAAGAGGACACUAAAAUGAGGAAGGGUGCAGCAGAGUUUAAAGGUGUGAUGUGUUUAUAUAUCUUAUUCAUGUCGUGCUCUUAUUUUUAAUAUUAAUUGCUGCAUUAAAAAAAAAUUGUAAGUUGUUAAAACAUAAUUAUCUUUUGCCUUUUCGACGUUCUGUCACAAUAAUGGUCUAUCAAUACCAUUAAAUAAAAAUAUUACAAAUUAAUCAGUGUACCAGUUAUUCUGAUAAAAAGGCAAUGUUUUUGAUUUCUUUUCCUAAAUGUGGAUGAUUUGCAGAGGUGAUUAAUAUGUAGAGAAAAUCACUAAGGAUCUGGUUCAAUAUUCUAUGUCAGUCAGCAUUUUGUAGUAUUUGUUGUAUGUGUGAAAGCGAAGCUUGCUUGUCUUUCAUACUUUCCAAGUGUGAACCUUUCAACCUUUUUUGUCACCAGAGCAAGGUGCUGUUGAAUAAUUAAACUGGCUUGGAGAUUUAGCUAUACUGUAGACCUGUGUAGCUUCAAUGAUUAGGAUGUUUAGUGUCAACUCAUUGAACCUGCCCACGGCACAAUCAAUUGUUCUCUUCCACUCCAGAGCAUUUACUUUAGCUAAUAAAUCAAUGUUUUAUAGGCAAUGAGAAAUUUGGAAUGGAGAAAAUUAAACAGUCGCUAUAUACAGUACUUCUAUGAUGUGAAAUAUGCAUGAGAAUUUAAAAAAAUAAAAUAACUCAAAUAUUAUAUAUAAUACUUAACAUUAUAUUCAGCCAAAGCAGCAAUGUGAUGGUUUAUUUUAAAGUGAAUGCAUUUUUUACUCUGCAGGUUUAAAUAAAAAUAAAUUGAAAUAUAUUAACUUGUUAAAUUCAUUUUUUUAAAUAUUUUCUUAAAAACCAUUGAAGAAACUACAUAUAUAUAUAUAUAUAUAUAUAUAUAUAUAUAUAUAUAUUUUUUUUUUUUAUUAUUAUUAUUAUUAUUAUUAUAAUUUUUUUUAUUGAUACUCUAUUUUUUGAGAGACUGUAGUAAAUGGAAAAGAACUACAGAACAAAGACGCAAAUACAUCAAAUAUUCCAAAAAUAAAAUUUUAAGCACCACAAACACAAAGGUAGCUAAUUGGUCUAUUUUAAAGUUGUUAAAUUAGGUUAAUAUAAGAAAAUAUUAAUGAAGGAGAGAGAAAUAGAAAGAGGAGGGACAGCAAGUCAACGGAAAAGUCAAAAGGAAAAAAGGAGGUCUUAAACAAUCUAAUUGCUGACUUCACUGCCAAUUAUAAAUCAGAAUCAAAAGAGGAAUAGGUUAUCAAUCACUUAAAAUGCAGUCAAAUCACAGGGUUCGGGUAGAACUUGUUUUUGUCCAUUCUGAUGUAAUAGAAUUUCUGUCCCAUUACAUCCCCCCUGUUUGUGAUACAUUACAGUAGUAAUGUGUUGGUAUUAUGCAGUAGCAUUUGAUAUAUGAUCAAGACCCAUUUGUCUAUGGGUGCAUGUUGCAAAGAUGCAGGUUGUAUUAGAAACCAAGGGUCCCUUUCCAGGAGGUUACAGGAGCAACAAGUUCUCUACGGCUAUGCAUUUGAAAUUGAGAUGGAAUACCUAUUGUCCCAGCUACUCACCUGCGAUCUAGCCUGGUUUGUAGCCCUAAUGGAAGAGAGAACCUGAGCAUGUUGCAAGUGAACUUUUGGGAGGUGUGUUAAAAAUAAAUAAAUCCAAAAUAGAUGUUUUGCAUUUAGCACUAGUAGUAAGUUCUAAAUGAAUAGAAUGUUGACUGACCACAUGUUGAAAAACACACUUUUAAAAUAAGUACUUUUUGACAUGCUCUUUUUGCUAUUUUAUUUGACAUUUACUAUGCACCUUUAUUCACUGUUUAUUAUAGUAGCCUGCUUUAAACCAAUUUAUUCUCACCAUUGUUUAAGUGCAAUUUUUUUCUCACCAUUGUUAAGGUGCAAAUUUGGAAAAUUACCUGUAAUAAUUAUUGUGGUAAUUUUCCACACAUUUAAUUUUUAUAAUUCUUUUUCAGUUGUAUCUAGCUAUUGUUUGUCUCCUUUUGAUUUUUUUCAGUAUAUCAAACUUUGAACGUUGCUCUAAUUAAGGCUUGUGUUGACUGCAAGUGGGGAAUGUUAACAUCCAAUCAGAAUCUGAGGGUAGACCCCAUAUGGAAUCAGGGUGAAUACACCAUCUGGUAACAUUUUAUGAAUGAAGGUUUCUGGACCCCACAGCGUCUUCAGUGACAUAGACAAACACAGAGACAUUGAAGUGUAUAGAUUUUUUCAGUUAGGCAAACUAAUAUUUGGGUAAUCAUUUGAAAGGGGUAUAAUAUUCUUGACUGGAAAUUAAUGUAGCCAGAGAUUUACUUUUCGGUGUGUAGAUUCUAGAGAUUCUGAUUUUUUUGUUUGUGUCCCUACCAGAGAAAUCGUCGAAGUUUCUUAUUUAAUAGUUUUAUCCUGUUUCAAGAGCAGCAAGGGGAAGACCUUGAGGGGGUAUAGUAGUUUAGGGAAGCUAAUUAAUUUGUAUAAUGAGGCGCUUCCUAUGUAGGAUAUUGGCAAAAAUUCUUUGAAAAUGUUAGCUAAGAUGGGAGGUAUGUUCAUUUUGUAUAGGAUGGAUAUGUUUUUUUGAAUUUUGAUUCCUAAGUAUUUAAGUGCCUGUGGUUCCCAUUUCAAGGGGAGUGCACCUGGCAUUGACGGGAAUGGCCGCCACCUAAACGCAGGCCUGUAUGAUUUGUUCCAAUUAAUUUUGAGACCUGCCAUUCCGUGAAAUUAUUUGAGUAGGUCAACUAGGGGUGGUAAAGAGUCUUGUGGAUCAGUGGUGAAGACUAGGAGGUCAUCAACAAAAGCUGUGACUUUCAAGGUGACACUGCCCAUUGGAAUUCCCCUGAAUCCCUGAAGGGUUUCUAGGCUCGGAAUAAAGGAUCAGUUGCUAGGUUAAACAAUAAAGGUGAAAGCGGGCAGCUCUGUCGUACCCCUCUUUCUAGAGUGAAAUAAGGGGAGUCAAGGCCAUUGGUAAUAACACAAAUCAGUGGGUUAUGUUGUAUAUUUUUUAUGAAGUUUACAAAGAUGUGUCCAAAGUAUCUUAAUUUUAGUACAUGCAUCAGUUGUUGCCAAGUGAUGCUAUCGAAGGGCCUAUCUAUGUCAAGUCCAACAAGAGACGGCGAUUGCAAGCCCGAAACCCCAUCUGCAAUGCUAGCCACAGCCACCAUUGCUUUUUGGACCCCCAUGGUUGCCAGUCUGCCUCCGCACACAGCAAAAGAGAAGUCAGUAAGUUAGGUAGGAAUGUUUGUAUUCUCAGUGCUAUGAUUUUAUUGACAAGUUUAACUCCUUGAUUAAGAAACGAGAUUGGUCGAUAAAAGGCCAAAGCUUCCAGGUCCCUGGGGAUAAGAAAGACUCGAGCCUGAUUGAGAGUACCUACUGGUAGACCUUUAAUAUAUAUUUGGUUAAACAGGUUUUUGAGGAUAGGACUAAUUUGCAGUUUUAGCGUUUUUUAAUAUUCCGCUGUGAGGCCAUCGGGGCCAGGUGCUUUCCCUGGUUUCAGUAUUUUCAUUCUAUUUCCUCCUCUGUGAUAGGUAGAUAAAGUGAUUUUUAAUUAAAGUAUUAACUGGAUAUUGCAGGCAUACAAAAUACAUUUAAAUUGGACAAUUGCAUAAGGAUGUAAGUAAGCAUGUAUAUAUUUCUGCUUGCAAUGUAUUGAGUUUGAAUCUUUGAGUGUAUGCUGCUGUGUAAAUGAAUGCAGGGUUUAAUAUUCUCAAUAUGUUUGAUAAAUUGUAUUGUAUUAUUAAAUAAUGCUGUUUUUUUAUAAUACUAUAAAAAUGUUUACAUUGCUAUCCUAUCGAGGCAUGCCAAUUCAUAUGGUAUGAGUAAGGAGCACUAUUAAACAAGACCUCCACUUAAAAAAAAUAAACUAGCCUUUAGUAAGAUUUUAUGAUCCAGAUGUUUAAAAAUGUAAUGAUUAUCUCAGGGCAACUUCAGGGGAAAGGCUGCAAAUUGUAUGCUUGGACAUGGAUAAGUAAAGCCUGCAUUUUGCUUAAAACUUUUUUUUUUUUUUUAUAAUAUAAUUACUGGAAAUUGAAAAAAAAAGUUGUGAUAUUAUUAUAGAAAUGACAUUCCUUUUAUUGAACUUGGAAGAAUAAAAGAUGGAGUAUACCCACUGGUAUUUGAACCUUGCACACAGAUCUCCAAUGGGGUUUAUUAACCCACUGUGUGAAUUCUAGGUUUAAUCGCAAGGAACAUGAUCUAAAAAGAAUGACACAUUUGUCAGAUAUAUGCCAUUUUGUAUAUUUGAAACAGCAUUUUCUUUUUAUUAUUAUUUUUUAUUUUAUUUAUUUCCCUCUUUUUUUAAACAAAAAACAUUUACAUAGAUAUUAUUAAUAUAAACUGUGGGUAAUAGUAUUGUUGUUAUUAUUUUUUUAACAAUAAAUUCUAACAAUUUACAGAAUUAUUAUUAUUAUUAUUAUUAUUAUUAAUUUAUCGAUAGACUUUAUUUAAAGAUGGUCAGUUAUUGGUCAGUCAACUUUUAAAGAAAGAAGUUAUUUGCUUCAGCUUAUGCUCUGAGCCAAUUAUUAGCUCUCCAUUCACAAAAUGCUUGAGAAAGGUACAGAUCUUUUUAUGGAUGAGGAGCUAAUCAGCAGCAUACCUGCCCUUUGGGAGUUCGUAGCUGAUUUUUUUUAAAGCAGACAUGGACGGGGCAAUGUAGAGCAGCACUGGAGUCAAUUCUGAAGUUAAAAUAUUUGUGAACAGAUCUCCUGACACCAUAAAAACUUAAUUUUGAUUGUAUUUUGUGGAUCCAAAUAAUGAUCUUUGUUAUAUUCAGAGGAAGCCCAAAUUAUUAUUACAAGUGCACUUGGAGAAGCGAGAAUUAGACACCAGACACCUGUUGGUAUUCAUAUUAAGCCUCUCCAAGUGCACUUGUAAUAAUAAUUUGGGCUUCCUCGGAAUAUAACAAAGAUCAUUAUUUGGAUCCACAACAGUAGAGCAGCACUGGAGAGCCAAUUCUGAAGUUAAACUAUUUGUGAACAGACCUCCUGACACCAUAAAAACUUAAUUUUGAUUAAGUUGUUAUGGUGCCCUGUUAUGGCAUCUAUAUGUGAUUUUCUAAAAGAGGAUGUGGCUAGAAACAGCAAAGAAUAGCCCUGGAGAAACUUUGGGGUUAAACCCUUCAUGAAUAGUUUAACCCCUGAAGGUAAGUAACCCCCAAGACCUCUUGGCACCAUAACAACUUUCUCUCGAUGAUGUUGUUAUUGUGCCUGGAGUGUAUCUUUAACAACCAGAAGAAAUGUUACUUAACUAUUCCUUAAACUAAAAUGUUACUUAACUAUUCCUUAAACCAAACUUGACCAAAACUGAAAUUUUGGUUUUUCCUCCCUCAAGUGUUGUUACUCCCGUGUCUGUCUGUCUCCAAGUCAACGGUGCUACCAUCAGCUCCACCACCAGGCUCGCUGCAUAGGUGUUCUCUUUGACUCCGACCUCUCCUUCAAGCCUCAUGUUCAAUCUAUCACCAAAUCCUGUCAUUUCAAUCUCAAAAACAUUGCGCGCAUCCGCCCCUACUUAACGCCAGAUGCGACUAAGGUGUUGGUCCAUUCCAUUGUCCUUUCUCGCCUUGACUACUGUAAUCUGCUUCUCAAUGGUCUUACGUGCUCCCAACUUGCACCAUUACGGUCCAUAAUGAAUGCGGCAGCGAGGCUCAUCUUCCUGUCCGCCCGCACCUCCCGCACCUCCCAUGCCUCACCCUUCUGUCAGUCCCUACAUUGGCUUCCUAUAAAAUAUAGAGCUCAGUUUAAAAUUCUGGUUCUUGCUUCCCAAUCGCUACAUAAUGCUGCUCCCACCUAUCUAUCCUCCCUUAUACACAAGUAUGUCCCGUCUAGGCCCUUACGGUCUGCUGAAGACUUACGUCUAUCAUCUGUCUGUACUCCCACCUCUGAUGCUCGCCUUCAAGAUUUCUCGAGGGCUGCACCGUUCCUGUGGAACUCGCUUCCCUCCUACGUUAGAUGCUCACCUAGUCUCCACUCCUUUAAAAAAUCGUUAAAAACCCACUUCUUCAUAAAAGCAUAUCAAUUAAACUGUUAAUAGCUCCUGACUAAUUCUUCUUCGGCAACUGUCACUAGGCUAUUACUAUCCUUACCAUUUUGUGUAAUUUUACCCCACUCCCUCUAGCAUGUAAGCUCAUUGAGCAGGUCCCUCAACCCCUCUGUUCCUGUGUGUCCAACUUGUCUGGUUACAACUACAUGUCUGUUCGUCCACCCAUUGUAAAGCGCUGCGGAAUUCGAUGGCGCUAUAUAAAUAACAUAAUAAUAAUAAUAAUAACUAUAAGAGGCAUAACUAAAUAUUAUAUUCAUCUUUUAGACAUAAGUGGAUGGAUAAAGCCUGAAUCCAGUAGCAGAUUUUCUUCUAUUUAUGUAACAUUUCAUGAUAAAUUUAUAUUUUUAUUGUAGGCGUAGUACAGCGAAAUAUAUUUUCAUAUAAUUUUGUUAUAAAUUAUCCAUGCAUAUGCAAUUAAAAUAAGCUAACAUCAUGGAACCAAAAGGUUCAAUCUAUUAAAGCACAGGAGGAUAUGUGAUAGUUCAUGAAAUACAAUUUCGACAUGAAAAUAUGGAGCCUAUCAUUUCUAUUCCCUUCCAAAUGACACUCCCCCUAAACACUCUGUCCCAUAUAUGUUAAUAUGCUAUCAAAUGUUCAUUCAGCUGUUCUAUCUUGAUAUUCCCUCGAAUCCCGAUAUAUUAAUGUUCUUCUUCUCCAUCGACAUCUGAUUACAGGGAUACAGGGCCGCCAUCAGGGGGUAACAAAAAUGAUGGUUGUCACGGGCCCAGCGGCCACGUUUAGUGGUGGAACUGCCGCUGGUGCAUCUACACUGGGGCCUGCACGCUCAUGGGGCCCAUCGGGUGGCCCACAUACUUAGGGACACAAGAUGGGCCCUUUGUCUUCAGGGGCUUGGUCAGCGCUGUGGCCGUGUAAUAGCGUGACCGGACCCCUUUAAAAAAAUUGGAAGUGAUGGACUGUCACUUCCUCCCAGCUCACUCCACACAGGAGGAGAGACAGCGUGGAGGCCAUGAAGAGGGAGAGCCAGCCGACUCAUAUCAGCCCCAGCCACCCACCUGCAAGGAAAAGGUAAGAAACAGGAGGGUGGCUGAAAAAUGAGUUGCAUGUGUGUGUGUCAGUUUGUCUGUCUGUCUGUCUGUAUGUAUGUCUGUAUGUAUGUAUGUCAGCAUGUAUGUCUGUAUUAUUGUAUGUCUGUAUGUGUGUAUGAAUGGACGGAUGUCUGUCUGUAUGUAUGUAUGUAUGUAUGUAUGUCAGCAUGUAUGUCUGUAUUAUUGUAUGUCUGUAUGUGUGUAUGAAUGGACGGAUGUCUGUCUGUAUGUAUGUAUGUAUGUAUGUAUAUCAGCAUGAAUGAAUGUAUGUAUAUAUGCAUGUCAGUAUGUAUGUCUGUUUGAAUGUUUGUCUGUAUGUCUGUAUGUAUGUAUGUCUGUAUGAAUUUAUGUCUGUAUGAAUGUAUGUCAGUCUGAAUGUAUGUAUGUUAGUAUCUGUAUGUAUGUCAAUAUGUAUGUAUGUAUGUAUGUAUGUAUGUAUGUGUUUGUGUCUGUAUGUCCUUGUAUGUUAGUAUGUAUCUGUGUGUCACUAUGUAUGUCUGUGUGUUUGUAUAUGUGAGUAUGUGUUAGUAUGUAUGCCUAUAUGUGUGUAUGUCUGUUUCAGUAUGUGUACUUUUAGUAUGUAUGUGUGUGUGUCAGUAUGUGUGUAUCUUUGUGUGUGUGUUUGUGUCUGUGUGUUUAUUCCUGUGGGCGGGAUAUGGAGGGGGUCCCUGUGGUCAGGCUUGGAGGCAGGCCCCCGGGGGCCCAGACCCUGAGUUGAGUUAGGGGCCCCAACAUUUCUGACGGCAGCCCUGCAGGUUUUUAUUACUGUAGUUGCUAUCACUUCUCUUUACAUAUUUUGUUAGCCUUAUAUUGGUUGUACUAAUGACCUACCCAAUUGCAUUAUGUGAUAAAUAAGUUAUUGUGAACUCUCUGUAUGGACCCAGUGUUUUUAUCUUUUUGUUUUUGCUCAUUCGAUACUUUAUUCACAUGUAUAUACUGUUUUUUUUACUGAAUAAAAAAGUAAAUUUGCAAAUCUGAGUUUUCUUGAUGAAAUGUCACUGGAACUGAACUGUCUGCUCAGAGCUGGAGUCUAUAGUGAUUCUCUAUAUGAUCAAUAUAACAAUUUAGAGCUUCAUAUUUUCAGAUUGUUCCUGGGAGCAUAAUAUCAAUCAUCAUAUUUGUCAAUAAACGUUAUUAAUUCAAAUUCACGGAUGUCUUCACAUGUUUUAUAGUUUGUUGAAGUUAUAUCCUGACCAAUUGCAUCAUUUUUUGUAAUGACAGUGAAAUUGAAUGAAUAUUUUUAAUAGGGUUGGUGCUAGAGGGGUUCUGGACCACAUGAAUGCUACGCAGUCUAGAACCCAGACACAGUCAUUGCUUGCAUAAAAAUUUAGCGAAUGAGCCAGAAAUUACACAGAUUUUCUCUCUGCAGGAGUUAACUGAACUUCCACUUAGGUUGUCAUUUGAAAAGUAUAAACUCCUUACUUAUGCAUCACUAAAGAUGAGCCGUGGGGAAAAGCUUUAUUCUCAUUUGUUUACUCUGUUUAAGUAAAGCCAAAAUUAUAAAUCUGGAUUUCCCUAAGAUGCCAACUGCUACCUUAUAUUCAGGUAACAGCAGUUAAGAGUUCAUUCACCAGACUGCUUUUGCUAUCUGUAGCUGAUAUGUUCCAGUCUCGUGAUUUAGGAAGUUUAUUUGUAUGGUCUAGCUGAUUUAGAGGUUGCAAAGUUAGGACAAAAAAUCUGGGCUGAAAGAAAUAACACUCCACUCUCCAAAAUAAAUUAAAAAAGUUUAGUAGAUAUACACCAAAUAAAAAUGUAAUUAUGCAUUGGUGGUACAUAUAAAAACAGCUUUCAAAACCUGCAGUUGUUAUUUUUUAUUAUUAGCUUGUCUCCAACCUGGCAUCCAUUCCUGUUACUGGUGACAUCUGCAGACUUCUAUGAAAGAAUUGAAGGUGAUGAUUAUAUCACCUAUGUCUGGAACAUAGAGCCGUCUGUCUACUCAUUAAAUUAUAGGUAAGUUUUUAACUAUUCCUAUACACUUACUAUAAAUGGAGAACACUAUUGUUUUUUCCUUUAUUUCAUAUGGUGCACCUUACUACUAUCCUAUUGUGGAAAAGUAUCAGAGUGAAAUCCUACAAGUGGAGGAUCUAAACCAUUGUAUGCUGAUUAAUCCGGAGCUGGUUUAAGGCUCCACUGUAUGUGAGAUGUAGAUAGUUGGAUCAGGGAGCAGCGCCUAUGGAGUAAUUCCCACGUUCAGAGCGAUAUGGAGAAGGGAAGGAAAAAGACACGGAUAUAGUGUAGUAUGUUGAGAUCUUAAGUGAUGGUCAAGGCCGUCUUUAGCGCGGGGCAAACGGGGCAGCUGCCCCGGGCCCAGUUGCUCCUGGGGGGGCCCCAGAGCAGCCCCGCCAACUAAGGAGGCCCCCGGGUGGCCCAUGCACUAAGGGCCAUCCUGUGGGCAUGUGGCAGAAGGGGCCCGGUUGGGCGCUGUGACGCUUAAACAGCGCGACCGGGCCCCUUCCUGUGCCGGCUAGGAGGAAGUGAGUACCGCGUGUCACUUCCUCCCAACGGAGAUAGCGGCGCGGGAGGAGGAAGGCAGGGAGGAGGGGAGUUCCAGAGAAGAACUCCCAUCUGCCUCAGCCUGCCACUGGACCCCAGGGAAACCACCCUCCAUAAAAAGGUAAGAACCUGGAGGGUGGCUAAAUGUAUGUCAGUAUGUGUGUGUGUUAGUAUGUCUGUGUUUGUGUGUUAGUAUGUCUGUGUGUGUUAGUAUGUCUGUGUUUGUGUGUUAGUAUGUCUGUGUGUGUGUGUUUGUUAGUAUGUCUGUGUGUGUGUGUUAGUAUGCCUGUGUGUGUUAGUAUGCUUGUGUGUGUUAGUAUGCCUGUGUGUGUUAGUAUGUCUGUGUUUGUGUGUUAGUAUGUCUGUGUGUGUGUGUUUGUUAGUAUGUCUGUGUGUGUGUGUUAGUAUGCCUGUGUGUGUUAGUAUGUCUGAGUGUGUGUGUUAGUAUGUCUGUAUGUGUGUGUGUUAGUAUGUGUGUGUGUGUGUGUGUUAGUAUGUCUGUGUGUGUGUUUUAGUAUGUGUGUGUGUUAGUAUGUCUGUGUCUGUGUGUGUGUGUUAGUGUGUUAGUAUGUGUUUGUGUGUUAGUAUGUGUGUGUGUUAGUAUGUCUGUGUCAGUAUCUGUUUGUGUAUGUAUGUCAGUAUGUCUGUGUGUGUCUAUGACAGACAUACUGACAUACACACACAUACACACUGACAUACACACACACACACAGACAUACUGACACAUACACACACACAGACAUACACACACACACAUACUGACAUACACACACACACACACACACAGACAUAUACACACACAGACAUACUGACAUACACACACAGACAUGCUGACAUACACAGACAUACUGACAUACACACACAGACAUACUAACUCACCACACAGACAUACUAACACACACAGACAUACUGUGUGUAUGUCUGUGUGUUUGUAUGUCAGUAUGUCUGUGUGUGUAUGUCAGUAUGUCUCACUGUGUUCCAGUGUGUGUGUGUGUAUAUCAGUAUGUCUGUGUAUGUCAAUACACCUGUCAGUGUAUGUGUCUCUGUGUGUCUGUGUCAAUAUAUCUGUUAGUGUAUGUGUCUGUGAGUAUGUAUGUGUCUGUGUGUGUAUCAGUAUGUCUGAAUGUGUGUCAAUGUUUGCCAGUAUAUAUUUUUGUGUCAGUGUAUGUGUGUGUCAGUAUGUAUCUGCGAAUGUUUUAAUGUGUCUGUCUGUGUGUGUAUGUGUCAGUAUGUCUGUCAGUGUGAUUGCGGGUUGGGUGUAAUGGGGAGGAAGGGUGCAGUGACAGGGCCCAGGGGGCCCAAGAAAAGGCUUUGCCCGAGGUCCUAUUCAUAUUAUAGACGGCCCUGGUGAUGGUAAAUGAAGGGAAAGGAAUUGCACUUAGAAUUUUCUGGAGCCUAUAUUCAGCUCCAGAUAUGUGUGCCUGGACGGUACAAUCCCCACCUAAGCAUAUGUAGAUGGGCCUUGGAUGUCCUCAAAAGGGGGUCUCCAGUGGUAGUAGAGUAUAUAUCCUUUCCAAUGACAGUAGGCCACAUACUACAAUUGUAAGUACUGAUAUUCCACCUACCCCUUUACUCCACUGUAUGUGAGUUGCCAAUUGUGCACUUGCAUGUUGUGUGUAUCUCACUCUAACUGGCAUUUUGCACUAUUGGUUUUUGCUGUUCUCCUGUUUGCCUGUAAAUAUGUGUGUGUGUGUGUGUGUAACUGUCUGCCUGUAACUGUGUGCACGUGUGUGUAACUGUCUGCCUGUAACUGUGUGUGUGUGCGUAACUGUCUACCUGUAACUGUGUGUGUGUGUGUGUAACGGUCUGCCUGUAACUGUGUGUGUGUGCGUAACUGUCUACCUGUAAGUGUGUGUGAUUGCAUGCCUGUAACUGUGUGUGUGUGACUGCCUGUGACUGUGUGUGACAGUCUGCCUGUGACUGUGUGAUGCUGCCUGUUACUGUCUGCCUGUGACUGUGUGUGUGUGUGUGUGACACUGUCUGCAUGUAACUUUGUGUGUGACUGCCUGUAACUGACUGUGUGUGUAACUGCCUGUAACUGUGGGUGUGUGUCUGUAACUAUGUGUAUGACUGUCUGCCUGUGGCCGUGUGUGUGACUGUAUAUGUGACUGUCUGCCUGUAACAGUGCGCGUGACUGUGUGUAACUGCUUGUAACUGACUGUGUGUGUGUGUAACUCUCUACCUGUAACUGUGUGUAUGACUGCCUGCGACUAUAUGUGUGACUGUCUGCAUAUGACUGUGUGCGUGUGACUGUCUGCUUGUAACUGUGUGUGACUGUCUGCCUGUAACUGUAUGUGAGGGGGUGCAGGGAUUUUGUAGAAGGGGGCAGGGGUUUUAAAAAGUUUACAAAUUUGUUCAAUACAUUUUUUAAAAAAAUGUAAAAAAUAUAACACAUUUUUAAAAUUUAGUAGGUUUUUUUUUUUGGAGAGGUGAGCGGGGGUGCCAAACCCAGGACCCGCCCCGGGUGCCACAUGCCCAAAGUAUGCCUCUGUAGACUGGUAACGCUAUUUUCUCCCCAGAAAUAAUCCAGAAUAACCUGAGAUGAAUUUUUUUUUUAUAUUAAUAUUUAUGCAUGUGAUUAUUAGAUUGUUUUCAUAAUGCAUUAAAAAUGAGGAUGGACACCUAACUGAAUGAGGUCCAUUAUAGGUGCUUGAUUUUGUAAACUCUGCUGCCAAUCUGGACAUACAAUUUUGUAAGGCCUACUAUCUUUAAAAACAUAAGAAAUAGAGAAUUUGCCUGUUAUUUCCCCAUGGAUGUCUUCUUCACACUCAGUGGCCUGCAGCUUGAUGUAUACCUACUUCCCAAGGCAAAGGCAUUCCUCCUUGUUAGGUUACAUUGUUUUCAUAUUGGCACUUGAUAAAAUAGUUUCACACAAUCCAGAGGGGCAUGAAAUGGCAGAGGGGCCUUUUAAAGUGCAAUAGGCAUUUGUACACUUUGCUUGACCAGUGGAGAACCUUGAAUGGCUCCAGAUAAAAUAAAGAAGGCAAAAAAGGUGGACUCCCAGCCUGUCAGUGUAGCCCUUCUCAAGGAUAUAUAAGAUUAAGAACUAGACAAAGUGGAGUUUGUCAUCAUUGAUGACUUGAUGGAAGCAUGCAAUUUAGACCAACAUUCUCCAAACUCAGGUACAGUGCCUGAAAAACUAAUCAAUCUUGACCAGUAAAGAAUGAAUAGUCCCAUAAAUAGGAUUUUACCAUGAACAGAUCUGCCAAAGCAUCUGCAAGAUUUUGUUCAGGCAUAUUUUCUCAAAAUGAUUUCUUCUUGAUAUCUACACCUUUAACCCCUUCACAGCCUAAGGACAAUAAACACCACAGGUUAUUAUAGUAUUUAUGUACAAGAGCUGAAGUUGCUUGCCGAAAGAGACUAACUAACAUUUAAAAACAGUUUGACAAGCCCCUGAUGGACUGCACUCAAAAAGUUCUUGCACCAGAAUCACUUCAAGUCUGUGGUGUUCUUGGUACUUAGCAUCCAGUUAAAUGACCAGUGGAGGCUCAUCUAUAGGGAUAUUUAAGGCAGCACCCAUCAGUUGUUAUUUUGGGGGAGGACGGGGAUGGGGGAAUAAUUUCUAGUUGUUUAGAAAACCAAAGAUUCUCUUUUUGGAGGGAAGGGUAAUAAGCCAAAAAUAUAGGAAAUAAAGUAGUGUCUCUUUAAUUCUGUAAUAGGUUUCAGUUCUGUGGGGCCCCUUCCUCCCUCAUUGGUAACUCUGGAGAAGCCUACUUGAGAUCAUCUAUACAUGCCAAAAAAUGGGGUGGGUGGAAACCCGGCCUGUUUUAGCAGGUUUUGCACAUGACUAGUGUUCUUUAAGAAGAAAUUUCCAGAAUUUCCAUUGGGUUGCCCAAAUUGGCAGAGCCAGCUGCCUAUUAGUGGAGGCAUGGUAUGGCCUCUCUAUUAAGGUGCUAUCAUUGCUAUCAUUGGAUCAUAGCACUAGGUUUGGGGUUACAGUGCCCAUGUGAGAGAGAAACAAGAAGCCAUCUUGGGAGCAGCACAGGAGAGCGAAGCAGCAGCACCUCCCAGCCCCUGCCAAAUGUAAGUUAAUAAUAUUAUCUUCUUCUCUAGUGACUGCCAUAGGACUGGUUGUGUGGUAGAAGCUACAGGAGGUUUAAGUAAAGUUCAGUACUCACAUGGUUAAAACUACUGUGCAACUAUCUUGGACCAGGGCGCAUGUGCGGAAUGUCAGGAACACCCACUAUUAGAUAACAUGUGUAAGAGAUAAGUUUUAGUUUAAUAAUUGGAUGUAACCAUAGUAAUGUAGGUGUAAUUUCUGUAUUCUCUGUAUAUGUAUGGAAUACGUCAUUUGUGGUAUAUAUUCUUUGUUCUCUUGCAAACGUGUGCUCAGUCGGGUAUUCCAAGACUAUUGUCUGACUGAGACCUUUGCAGCUGCAAAAACAAUAAAUAGCCUUUGUUCUUCAACGACCUGUGUCGGGAGUGUUUGGAGUGUCCUUGUUUCAUACUUAACCAGAGUUGAUACAACAGUUGUAGUAGGGUUAUCACUGUCUUAUACUCAGCUCUAAGUAUUUCAUAGAUAUCUUUAUAUUGUGCCCAUCUUGUUUUAUGUGGGGACAUCUCUGUAUUAUGCUCAGCUCUCUAAAUUGAAUGAGUAUCUCUGUAUUGUAUAGAGAGGAGUAAAGUUCUGGGGAAGGAGUCUGUCGCCCCCCCAUCUUAAAACUUCACCAGUCACCACUGUAAAUGUCACACUGAUACACUAUACUUAUACUAAACAUCUAAUUGCAUCUGUUUUACUCUCUACUUUUCUGAAAAUACCACCAGGACUUUCUCUCCUUAGAUGAUAAGGUUAGUGCACAUGGCAGUGGUUAGAAGUCACUUUAUUUCAUUAACCUUUAACCUCACAAAAAGCUACAUCUACCAAUAUUGCUGCUUUGAGGGAUAAACUGCUCUUCUUGGAACCGCACUAAAGUAAUCUCCUUCUGCAUUACUGGCAGAGUGAAUUAAGUCUGUCAAAUCCUCAUUGAAUUAUCUGUAUACUAUACGCACUGUUUUUCUUUUAUCUAGACUUAAGCAGAUAUUUUGUACUGUGAGUAACUAAGCUAAUUCUAUGUUAACCAAUAAGAUAUGUUAAAUUAAUUAGCAGCCUCUAGAGUAAGUAAUUUAAUGUUCAAACAUAGCAACAACAUAAUUAAUCUCAAGAAAUUUUUUGUUUUCUUUGUUGAGUAAAUACAAUUUAUUCCACAGUCUGGCUGAUGACACCUAAACCAAUACCUAGGAUUACACCUGUCUUAAUGUCCACUUUAAAUGUUUCCUCUAUUGGCACUACAUAAGAGGUUUACCUUAUGGUAUAAAACGUGUGCUUUAUUCCAAAAGGAAAACAGGAAAGGAUGUUGUUAUAGGUUAAUGAUCAAGAGAAGGAUAUUUUCAGCAAGAAUAAUAAGCUUCCAUCGGUGGAUCAUAAGGGUGUGUAAUAUAGCUUCUUCAUUGUGGUCUACAUAAGGCAUUCUCAAAAAGGUUAACCCAUUAUAGAAAUUAGUUAACAGAUUCAAGUAUUUUGUUUCACAUGUGGUAUUUAGUAUCAGUGAAAUCAUUCAAUAUAACCCAUACCUGGGACUCUUUGUUGUCAACAGACUGCAAUCCUAGAAAAUAUGGGGUGAUCAUGCCUGUGACGAGACCAAUCUCGCCACUAUGCACACUUUAUUUUCCUAUGCAGAAAGAUCUAUUUCUGUAUUUCUGCCCUGGCAUUCGGUAGAUUCUCGGAUUUACUGAAUUAACUAAUUUAACCCAGAUAGCUAUGCCAUGGAGCCUAUUCGUGUAAUAAAAGACUUUGGCUCCAUGGCAAUUGAACUGUAUGUGUGUGGUCUGAGCGCCAUUCAGUAAUUAUGUGCGCUCAGACCUAAGCUGUCUGGGGAUAUGUUGCAUGUCUGUAUUUUAUGUAAUAGAUGUAACCUUGUGUAUUUUAUUGAAUUUUACUGUCUUUUUACUGCCAUGUGCUUAAUGGAGUUUUGCCUCUGUCCUUGGAGAUAAUUUGAUUACUUCCCAAUUAUCUCCAGGAUAGAAGACUCUGCGGAACUGGUUUUGUGCAGAAAAGCCAUGCUUCCUUUGGUCACAAAGGACUACGAUCUAUCUUUUGAACCACUGGACCAAUUUGGAUGAUUUUGACAUACGUUUGUAUUUGGAGUAUGCUGAUUCUGAAAAUGUAUGUUUUAUGUGAAUGUGAUGCAUACUUUUAAAGUUAUGAAUAAUGUGGAAAAAAUUUAUUUCUCUGCUGGUGAUAAUUAUAUUAGCCAUUGUGUAAGGUAAUUGUAUCACAGGCAGAGGGGAGGAUUUUGUGUGGGAGUGUCUGAGUGUACUGUAUGUGUUUAUUGGUUGUUUUCCAAAACCCUGUGGGUGGUACUAAUGUGUAUAUAAGAACAAUAAACCCACAGCUCUGUCUGUUCCUGCUUGACCCUCAAAACGGAGCCUUGUCUCGUUCUUGGGGGGAUUUAUUGUAUGCUGUUCCAGUUCGACUGCUAGGAGUGUAAACCUAUUCGUAUGGUUUUUCCUAUUCGGCUGUUUACAGCAUUCAUAUGGUUUCUGCAGUAGCUGUGCCUGUGUCUCUGGAAGGGAAGAUCUACUAAACGGCGGUUUAACCCUUUUAUGCCUGGGGGUGCCGUUACAAUGCCCAAUUAUCAUUGAAUUCUAUAUGGAUGUCUACUUGUCAAUCAGCAUACAAACUAUUUUGAGAUUUCUACAAUCUGUGAAAAUUACUUUACUGUUUCCUCUUAAUGUAUUCCAAUAGGUUAAAAGCGUGGCCUAGAUGCUGAUUUGUUAGUCAUCCAGAAAAAGGAAGUGUGCAUCCCUUCUCACCAUUUCCAAUGUCCACCUGAUUGUGGUCAAUAACCUCUCAUUGGAAUAAGCAGCUCAUAUUUUGUUGGAUAAUGUCACUAUUUGUCCCCAUGGAUACACUAUAUAAGAUUACACGGUUGGGAUGUAAAUAAUUGUAACAUUAUAAGUCAUCUUACUUAUCCAUCUGUUUUGUUGUGUAUUAUAACUGUAAUAAAGUUUGUAUUUUUCUGUAUACUUUAACGUGAUGUAUUGAGGUACAAAAGAGGUUCUACACCAAUGUAGACUGUCCCUUGGUUACAUUUGUUACCUCGCUUCCUUUUUCUUUAUGACACUCAAAAUAAAAAAAGGGGGGAAAUAAUAUAGUAUAGCAAGUUUAACAAAAUGUCAAGAAAUGAUAAAAAAAAAAAAAUCACUCACAAAAGUGAAGCACAUAGGAAUUAGAGAUGUCGCGAACCGUUCGCGAACUUCCCGCGAACGGCUCGCCGUGGUUCGCCACGAACCGUUCACGGCGAGCUCCGGUCAGCUGACACAUCCCGGCCAAUCUCCAGCAGACCCUCCCUCCCAGACCCUCCCACCUCCUGGAAGUUCGCGAACGGUUCGCAACAUUUCUAAUAGGAAUGUGUGACUAUUGUGGUGGCCACAGUGGCAUCAAAUACCUAAUGCCUUGCUCAAAGGAACAAUUGGUGUCAGGUCCUUUGGGGCAGUCUAUUAUGGGAUGUAGAUAUACUACCAGAAGGCAAUCUACAACACAAAAAUAAUAGAAACGGACAUAGAAUAGUAACGUAGUAAAUUGGGAAUUUAUAGGAAUAGAUAAUUGCACUCACAGACCCAAUUUGAUUGCAGGCAUAUAAUGAAUAACGAUGUGUAUACUUCUCGAUUUGUGGAACGUCAAUCCCAUGCAUAGGAGGAAGAAUAAUAAAAAAGUAAUAGUGCAGAGUAUCUUAAAUAAAAUUAACAAAAUUUAUUACAAGAUACACUUACAAAAAAGAUGUAUCAAAAAGGCACAUCAAACUCAGCUGAAGCUGCAACCCAGUCCCAGGAUCAGAAGAGCAGAGAAACCAAAUAAAAUAAAAUACACUUAAAAAACUAUAAAAAACAAAUACUCAGCAUAUAAGAAACAAGCCCUACGCGUUUCGUUCAUAAAAUGAACUUCAUCAGGGGAUUCCAAUCCUCUGUAAACAAGAAUACAUAAAACACUCGUCUUUUAUAAAUACAAUCAAAUUUGCCGCGAAGAAAAUCAGCUGUGCGUGUUACUUCCGGGUUCCGGCUUCGGCAUAUUUCCGGAUACGCCCCUAUUGCGUUCCGGAGCUUCUGUCCAAGCCUCACUCUGAAACUCAUCUGGUUGAACGGAAGUCAAGACGAAUAUGCGUUCCAUUUUGCGUUCCAUUCUCGGGGUUAGACACAUACAUCCCCAAAGCACAUCGUUAUAUAAAGAAAACAAAAUAUAAACAUAUAUGUGAUCAUAUAUACAAAUAUAUAAAAAAGGGAGAAGUAUCACCUAGUUUGAAAGAGGGGAAUGAUACAAACUUAUAAUAGUAAAAAAUACAAAUUAAUACAAAUUAACAUAUAAGACCAAAACAAAAUAAGAUGAAAAAAAAUAUAAAAGAAAAGAAAAAGAAAAAGAAAAAUUAAAAAAUAAUAAAAAUAAGAGCAAAAAUAAUCAAGUAAAAAUAAUAAUAAUAAUAAAAUACGAUGUGCUUUGGGGAUGUAUGUGUCUAACCCCGAGAAUGGAACGCAAAAUGGAACGCAUAUUCGUCUUGACUUCCGUUCAACCAGAUGAGUUUCAGAGUGAGGCUUGGACAGAAGCUCCGGAACGCAAUAGGGUCGUAUCCGGAAAUAUGCCGAAGCCGGAACCCGGAAGUAACACGCACAGCUGAUUUUCUUCGCGGCAAAUUUGAUUGUAUUUAUAAAAGACGAGUGUUUUAUGUAUUCUUGUUUACAGAGGAUUGGAUGCCCUUGAUGAAGUUAAUUUUAUGAACGAAACGCGUAGGGCUUGUUUCUUAUAUGCUGAGUAUUUGUUUUUUUAUAGUUUUUUAAGUGUAUUUUAUUUUAUUUGGUUUCUCUGCUCUUCUGAUCCUGGGACUGGGUUGCAGCUUCAGCUGAGUUUGAUGUGCCUUUUUGAUACAUCUUUUUUGUAAGUGUAUCUUGUAAUAAAUUUUGUUAAUUUUACUUAAGAUACUCUGCACUAUUACUUUUUUAUUAUUCUUCCUCCUAUGCAUGGGAUUGACGUUCCACAAAUCGAGAAGUAUACACAUCGUUAUUCAUGAUAUGCCUGCAAUCAAAUUGGGUCUGUGAGUGCAAUUAUCUAUUCCUAUAAAUUCCCAAUUUACUACGUUACUAUUCUAUGUCCGUUUCUAUUAUUUUUGUGUUGUAGAUUGCCUUCUGGUAGUAUAUCAAUAUUGUUUUAAGGACAUAAGAGGAGUCCUUUCAUCUACUUCACUUUUGACUAAGGGUAAUUUUUAUAUGUUUGUAUUUAUUACCCACUAAGUGUGUCGUCUACCUGCACACAGGUGUUUUGUAUCUAUAUUAUAUAUUGUAUAUUAUGGGAUGUAGGCUGUAAUAAAUUUGAAAAAAAAUUCUACAAGCUUGAUACUGAACAUUGUCAGACUUCCAUUAAGAGUAUGUUUAAGUCCCACACCAUUAUUAAUGUAUUAAAGAGUUUCUCCAAGCACUAUGACUAUUUCAGUGAUUUGAAGUGGUCAUAGUGCUUGGAGUGUUCAUGAGCAGCAUUUCACAAGAAAUGCUAAACUUAUAGCGAUACAGAACUUUGCAGCCUCAGGUGUAAUUACUCCUCCCGGAGUGUCAUUAGCAGAGAGUUUUGGGCUGCUAAUGUCAGUUCUAUGCAUGUCAGCCCACCUAGCAUACUGUAGAUUGGUGACCAAAGGUGGGACUGUACCUCCUCCAUGUUGGCCUUUGUCUUCCCUCAGUCCUACUCCAUAACAUGAUCCCCUAUAACAAAGGGGUGUAAUGUGACCAAAGGACAAUAAGGCUGCUAUGAGAACUAAAUAAAGAAUCCUUUAAUUCUGUCUCUUUUUUUUUUUGAGCCAGGAAGGAUUACUCCAUCCAAAAGAAAUCUGAUUUUGAUGGCCAUAACCCUUCAACACAUUAAACUCCAUUUUUAACAAUUUAUUUUUUCCAUAAAAUUUUGUAACAUGAGAUGUCAUGACAUUAAAACGCAGGAUUCAUAGCUAACUCUUUAAAUCACAGUAUUUAAAAUUUUAUUUUUUUGCUGAUUGCUCAAUAGAGAGACCGAAAAAAGCAAAUUAUACACAUUUACAAAAAUAUAAUGUUUCCAUUUAUUGUAUUCAACCUUUGAAGACCUAUAGGAAUUAUACAAGAACAAGUUUCUAUCAGGGUUAUUUAUUCAAAUUCAAGCUGUAGUGAACUGAAAAUCUGUAUUGCAAAAUUAAGACUAAUAUAAAAUCAAGCUGUGACUAUAGCUGAAUUGGAAAUUUUCUCCAAAUGAGCUACCAUUGCCUACAUUUUACUAUUCAGGGUUCAGUUUGUGACAAUUUAGAGCUUAAUUACUAAUCCUAGAAGAACAAACCCGAAUUUUUUUGGUACAGUCAGGGUUAUUUCUUAAAGGGACGCUGUAGUCAAGAGCAGGGGCAUACCUGGAGCAUUUGCAUUUGCAUUUCAUUUUUAAAAAUUGCACAAAUAUGUAAAAUAAAAAAAAUCUGUCCGGCCCCCUACUAUAAAACCCCUCUCCUGCCUGCAGUUUUACAAAACGCAUGUCCUGCCCCCGUUCUACAAAACUCCUGCACACCCCUUUCCACAAAUCCGCUGCUCAGCCCCCUUUAAACAAAAUCCCUGUCCCCCCAUUACAAACCCCUGCACACCCCUUCCAUAAAACUCCUGCACCCACCCUUCCCAAAAAAACAUGCCUCUCCUUCUAAAGUCACUUCUCAGCCUCUUACAAAAUAUUUUUUUCUUUACACAACAAUAUUAGCAACAGUCUUCAGAGUCCAGUCCCAGGCACAUAGUCACUCGAACACAGUCACACACAUGGUUACAGGCAGACAGUCACACAAACAGAUAUAGACAGACACACAUCCAACUACAGACAGACAGACAGACACACACACACAGACACACACACACUCUCUCUCUUCGCCAAUCACAGACAGAUAGUCACACACACACAGUCACAUGCAGACAAUCACACACACACAGUCACAGGCAGACAUUUACACACACACAGUCACAGGCAGAUAGUCACACACACUCAGUUACAGGCUGCAUUCCUAAAUCACAGGCAGACAGUCACGGGCAGACAAUCACACACAGACACAGUCACACACAGUUACAGGCAGGUAGUCACACACCUACACACCCACCCCCACACACUGUCACAGGCAAACAGUCUCACAAACACACACACAGUCACAGGCAGUCACACAGACACACACUGAGUCACAGGCAGACAGUCAACACAUACACAUUCUCUCUUACUUACUGACCGUAUGGGCUGGAGUCUGAUUUGUUUGGGAAGCAGGGACUCCAUUCUGCUUCCCCUCGAUGUGCAGCAGUGAUAGUAGCGGGUGGAGGCUGUGUUUAGCUCCACCCUGCUGGUUUUGCUUCACCCCACUGCCAAUUUGCUUCAUCCCCGCUUUUCUUAGAUGUGUCCGGUUUUGAAAUUCUGUGGCUGUCUGCGAGAAUGAGCUGUACAGCUGUCAUGGCGCCCUGUGCAGCCGCACAGCUCACACAUCCUAAGGCUGCCCUGGUCAUGGCACCCCCUUGCUUAGUACACCACCGGUAGCCAGAACAAGCUUCACAGCUUAAUGUAAUGGUUCUGGUGUCUAUAUCAUGUCCCUGCAGGUUUUUUGAUGAAAACAUUGCCUUUUGAGAGAAAAUACAGUAUUUACCUUGCUGCCUAGUAACACUUCUUGGUGCAGCCAGUCAGAUGACCACUAGAGGUGCUUCCUGUGUCAGCGCUCUGUAAUGAGACAUUGAAAGCUCCCCAUAAAGAUGCAUUGAUUCCAUGCAUACAGGGCUGGUGCAAGGAUUUUUGACUGCACAGGCAAAAACGGAUUUUGCCCCCCUUCCCACACACACUGGUUCUCUCGGUACUGAUAGGCAUGCAACUCCCUGCUGCUGGAGACUCCUACAAGAAGCUAUGGUUAGUGUCACUGACCUACACCCAGUUGCGCAUCAGCUUGCCUGCCAUGCUCAUUGGCUAACAGCACUCAGUUUAAGCUCUUAACCAGCUCUUAACCAAUGACCGAGAUCCUACGUGGCUGGGCUUAGCUCAAUUCCACGAGUUUCUGGUGGCAAGCUCCUGAAAAUUCACCCACUCCCUAAGUAAUAUUAGUCCUCAUAUAGGUCUGCCAUUUACCCCAUUUACCCCAACCCUCCCAAAUUAGAAUCCCUUAUGUACCCUUUUCUCCUCAAUUCACAUCAUGACAUAGCUUCCAAUUAACAUCUUUCAGGUUCUCUGUGUGCACCCUUUUAAAAUGGUUUUCAGCUACUUCUGCUCUUCACACUUACAAAGUGAGUCACACAACACUCACAGAUAGGGGCACACAGUCAUACACACACUGCCCUCAGUCACAUAUGGUCAUAAAUUCAUAUACAUAACAAUUAUAUUCUUGCGGUUAAAUAAAAUCACAUAAAAUCAGAAAUAUUCUCAUACACAUAUAAACAGUGACUUACACACUCACAGAUAUACACCUAUAGACAUACUCAUAGAUGCACAAAAUCACACAAACACAUUCAGAUACAGACUAACAAUUAGUCAGUCACACAUUUAUACUCACAGAGACAACACACUCACAUUCACACACCCCAGAUACCCAGUCACAGACCCAGAUACCCACUCACAAUCACAGACUCAGAUACCCAGUCACAGUCACAGACCCAGGUAUCCACUCACAGACAUGGGCGUCCACAGAAAUUUUUUUUUGGGGGGGGGAGAAGGGCAUAAUUGUAAUGACAUCCAUGCUUGGUCCCUUUUUGACAGUGUCAUGAAAGGGAAGGGGCAUAGUCAUUAUCACAGCCAGGGUGAAUAGCGGUUUCACAACUGUGGUGUCAGGAAUUCAUGUUUGUAUUCCUGACACUAUAGUGUUCCUUUAAGCAAAUUGAAGGAACAUUCUGGUCACCAUAACAACUUCAUCUAAAUGAAAAUGCUAUGAUGCCAGGAAGCCCAUGGGUGCUCAUUCCUUUAAGGGGUUAAACCACUUUCAAAUGGUUUAACCCCAAAGGCUUCCUCCAGCUCCAGAUCUCCAGGUCACUCAGUGUUAUUCGGCUUCUGAAACAGAGUGUCAGGAAGUGCAGAUUGACAUCAGGCAUGGGUGCUGCAGAUUGGCUAGAGUGGUCAGCUGACACUCUAAGCCAAUCGCUAGUUCCCGGUUCAUAAAAAAGUUUUACUUUUUUAUGAAUGGGGAGCUACUGAUUGGCUAAGAGUGCAAGCUAACCGCUCUAGCCAAUCUGCGACACCCCUACCCAGCGGCACUCUGUGUUUCUGGAUACUCAGUAAAUAAAAGUGAACACAUUAACAUUGAUAUUUUUUUUUUUUAACCUGGGGAGAUGAGAAGGUCAAAUGUUUCCCUGCUCAUUUAUGUUCCUUCUCCAACUUUACCUUUGUGCUCCUUCUGUUCCUUGCUGCCCUUUCCAGCUCCUUGCUGACCCUUUCUGCUCCUUCCACUUUACCUUUGUGCUGCUUUAACUUCCAGCUCCUUGCUGCUUCUUGCUGACCCUUCCUGUUCCUUGCAGCCCCUUCCUGCUCAUUUCUGUUCCUUUGUGAGCCUUGAUGUCCCUCCCUCCUACUUUACCUUUUGUGCUCAUUGCUGUCCCUUCCAGCUCCUUGCUGCCACUUUCUGCUCCUUGAUGUCCCUCCCUGCUUAUUUCUGUUCCUUCUCCUUUCUGCUCCUUGCUCACCCUUUCCUGUAGGCUCUCUCUCCACCUCCCUGAUCUAUAGGCUAUCUCUCCCCCUCCCUCACUUCCCUGAUCUAUAGGCUAUCUCUCCCCCUCCCUCACUUCCCUGAUCUAUAGGCUAUCUCUCCCCCUCCCUCACUUCCCUGAUCUAUAGGCUCUCUCUCCCCUCCUUCCCUCACUAACCUGAUCUGUGGGCUGCCCCCCACCCCUCACUUACCUGAUCUGUAGGAUGUCUCUGGCUGCACAUGCUGUUCCUCUGUGGAUUCAGUCAGUAGAGAGAAGCAGGGAUAAGAUGUAGCUUCCUAUCCCUGUCUCUCUCCAUACACUCUCUCCGCCACCUACUGGCCGGCGCCGGUAUUGCACUGUAUUUUCAAUCUCACACGAAAAAUAGCAGAACAAGCUGAAAAAUCCAAAGGAGGGGGGCAAGUGCCCCCCCUUUCCCCUUCCUGCGGACGCCCAUGCUCAGAGACCCAGAUUCCCAGUCACAGACCCGGGUACCCACUCACAGUCACAGAACCAGAUACCCACUCACAGCACACUGUAAGAUCACUCUAAGCACACUGAUCUCUUGUGGCUGAGUGCCACUAUUUCCACUUCCUUUCUGCCCUAUAGCAUUCCUCACUGCAACAAGUAUUAUGUGUGUCGUUGCAGCUCCUAUCUAUAGGAGCUGGAGCCAGCCUUCAGAGUGGAAGCUUGUUUCCCACUCCCUCGUGGUCUGAUAACACGUGGUACCGUAUCAUGUAAUGAGAGGGCUGAUUGAGAGCAAGGGGGUGGAGCUUUGUAGAUAGCAGCCAAUUAAAAUACUACAGAGCUGUUACAAUGCCUAAGGGAGGUCCUGCAGCAUUCAGGAUUUGAUAGUGUCCCGUAGCAGCAUCACUGCUGUUCCAAACACCGAGUUACAUAGUGAGUUACAUAGGAACAUAGAAAUAUAGAAUGUGACGGCAGAUAAGAUCCAUUCGACCCAUCUAGUCUGCCCAAUUUUCUAAAUCCUUGCAUUAGUCCCUGGCCUUAUCUUAUAGCUAGGAUAGCCUUAUGCCUAUCCCAUGCAUGCUUAAACUCCUUCACUUUGUUAACCUCUACCAACCUCUUCAGCUGGAAGGCUAUUCCAUGCAUCCAAUACCCUCUCAGUAAAGUAAUACUUCCUGAUAUUAUUUGUAAACUUUUGCCCCUCUAAUUUUGUUGUGAGUUGUGAGGAAUGGCUGCUGUGUGCGCAGUUGUGCUAUCGGUGUUCGGUCCGAAAUAUUUAAAAAUCGAAGUCUCUGGCCAGAUGUCAGAGAUUUGGAUUUUGCGCACCCUUUUUGUGGUGCCCAAAGGCAUGCAUAUCUAUGAAGAGUUGUUGAUUGGCGCAGCUCUGCAUUUUGCUGCGCAUGCGCAAUAGCCUCCCAAUGCUGGGAGCAAGGCAGGACAGUUGUGGCAAUGGAGUAAAGUUAAGUAAAACAACCUUUUAUCUUCAAUCUGAGGGAGGAGUUCCUUGAAACUGUGAAUUGUUGGGAAUUGACUGGAUAAUUUCAGAUUUUCUAAGCCAGCCAAUUCUCAAAAAGUUCCACAGAACUAUUUACGAAAGUGAGAAUUGUAGAUUAUGCUAACGUAGUGUACCUAUAAUCUUAAUUUGAGCAAUGACAGGAGGCGAGUAUUUGCAUAACUUUCUUUACUAUAAAUCUCCAGCAGCACAGAUUAAUCAAGUAAGUUUAAACCAAUCAAAAAUAAGUAACAUCCCAUAUAUAAGAUAGGCCAGCCCUCAAUUCUUCCUCUUUCUUUGAUGUGAAUGGAGAUGGUCAAUUUAACAUGAACGAACAACUGAUGAACUUGAUAAACGUCCAGUUAAGUCCAGAAACCAAUUUCUUUGACAGACGAAAUUUGUCCACCUGGUAUUACAUGAUAUUUCAUACUGAAAAGACGAAGAAACAAGUGAAAGGAACUUGUAGUGAACAUGUAAUACAUAUACUGUGAACAAUACCCAUUAUAUUAAUAAAUUUGACUCUAGCUAUACAAAUAGGUAAAUAUCUAAGUAUAAAGACAGUACGCAAGUAAUUAUAAAUGUACUCAUAUACCUUCUGAUAAUACGUAUCAAGUAUAUAAAACAACCAGACCACGGAAAAUCGAGACAAAUAUGAGAGGGGGGAGAGGGGUAAGAAGUAAGGGAGGGAAAUACUUGCCUCCUGUCAUUACAAAAAUGAAGAUUAUAGGUACACUACGUUAGCAUAAUAUACAAUUUUACCGCAUGAUAGGAGGCUUCAUAUUUGCAUUUUUAAGGCUAAUCAAGAAGAGAAAAAGUAGCAUGAGAUGCAGGAAGAAAAUAGAAAACUUGAAACGUAUCUUCCAGAGACCAAUCCGCCGAUCGCAUGAUGUCGGAGAAAGAGGCACCCAACAUAAAAGCGUGUGUAGCCGCCACGCCCUGUACGGAAUGCGCUCCGAAAGAUGCCUCGAUGACUGCCAAUGAUAGUAUCCAACGUACCCAUCCUGCCUGAGUAGUCAUAGACACAGGUUUGUGUGGCAUAAGACACGAGAAGUUGACCUGAUUGAGAACCCCAUAUACGUUCAAUAAUUUCUACGUAGCGCAUCAACGUCCUGACCACACAAAAGUGUGGGGCCGUAGGAAAAAAUGGGCAAAAGACCGCCGCCGAAUUUAUCUUAAUACGUUUUGUGACCGAAAAUGAAGCCCCCUCCAGGGUAAAGGAUAAACUGUUUACAUCAAAUGCCCUAACGUCCGCUACCGAAUGAAAAGAUACCAAACAAAGUAACAGUGUGAGUUUCGCCGAGAGUUGGUGCAAGCACAAAGAUGUAUUGUCUGGCCAGUUCCACAAAAACUGCAUUACCACCUCACCAUCCAAGAGUCGGGAGUAUUUCGGUGUUGGUGGGCGUGAUAAGCGUAUACCUCUAAGUAGUUACCUGAUCAAUGGAUCUUGACCCAGUGGGAGACCCUAAACCAGAACGUGUGAAGCCGAGAUCAUGAACAUUGAUGGAUUGAUAUGAAUGUCCUAAGGAAAAGGAAUGUGAUCAAAAAUGUAAGAUCAUAGGAACAGGUGUUGUAAAGGGAUCAGAAUCCCUCUCCAAACACCAGCUAGACCAUUUGCUUCAGGCUGCGAGAUGACAGUGUCUGGUGCCAGGUGCCCACGAAUCCCAUAAUAGAUCCUGUUGACCAGGAUCCCCAUGAAUCUUCCAGGCUACUAGUUCCAGAUGUUCUUGUAGGACGAGGGGAUGAAGUUCCCCCCAUGGGUCAGUCAGCAGAAGUGGAAAGGACAGUAUGAGGAGUGGAUGGUCGCACUAUAGUUCCAGAAGAUCCGGGAACCAAUGUUGGCUUUGCCAUAGCGGUGUCAGUAAGAGUAAGGAGCAUCCUUGAGUCCGUACCUAGUGGAUCACCCAUGCCAGUUCUGUGUCGGCCAGUUCUGGAAAAAUGCGUCCACCGCUUCGCAUUCCGGGUCUGGUAGCCAAGUGAAGAACAUGUGAAGUUGUCGAUUGUUUCAAGAUGCAAAGAGGUCUAUAAUCAGUGGACCCCUGAGAUUGAAUAGAAUAUUGAAUAUCGUUGAGUUGAGAUGCCAGUCACUGCCAUCCCUCCAAUGCUGGUAGUACCAAUAUGCUGUGAGGUUUUAGGUUCCCAGUAGGUAUUCCUCUUACAGCGUGAUAUUGCGGGAGAGGCAGAAACUGAAGAUGUCUUUGGUUGCCUCUGCCAGAGCCUGGGAUCGAGCUCCUCCCAGGAGGACUUCCGAAAUGUUGUCUAUGCGUAGCAGUAUGCAGCAGUUGGACAUGUGACUGGCCAUAACGCAUAUGGCAAAAGAGCCUGCUAUCAACUCCAAGCAGUUAAUGUGCAAGUCCAUUUCCUCUUCUAACCAAGGACCCCCUGUAGAGGAUACUGCACAAUGAGAUCCCCAGCCCCAUAGGCUGGCGUCGGAUUCAAUCAUGAAAUCUGGUGUGGGACCAAAUAUGGCUUUCCCAUUCCAGGCUUGCAUGUGGAGGAGCCACCAACAAAGUUCCGUCCAAACUUUGGCCGUGAGGGGAAUCAGGUGAUCGUAAGACAGUCUGGAACGCAAAGAGCGUCCUUUCAAACAUUGCAUGUCUCUGUAGUGCAGCGGUCCCAGAUAUAUCACUUGUAUGGAGGCCGAUAAGUGUCCCAUAACUCGUGCUAGGAGGAAUAACGCAAAGUGAUCCAUGCAAAUUUCUUUCCUCGUGGCAGCAAUCUUCUUGAUCGGCAGUCUGAGCGUACAGAAGGUUGAAUCUAUUUCGAACCCCAGAAACUGGACCACUUGAGAGGCUAUCAGUGCGGACUUGUGUUGAUUCACCAUGAAGCCCAGGGAUUCGAGGAAGUCCACAACCAAUUUUGUCAGCGAUCUGAGUAGUGACGGUGUGUCGCAAAACAGUAGCAAAUCGUCCAAGUAGAUGAUAGAUCUUAUGCCUAUAGAUCAAAAAUGGGCCAAGAUUGGCUUCAGGAAUUUUGUGAAACACCACAGGGCCUAGCUGAUUCUGAAUGGGAGGCACGUGAAUUGACAUGUUUGACUGUGACAUCAGAAGCGUAGGAACUUGCAGCAGGAUGGAGCCACUGGUACCGAAAGGUAAGCGUCCUUGAGGCCCAAUCAAGUGAACCAGUCGUCCUUUAGGAGUAGAUUGUGAAGCAGAUGAGACGUCAGUCACUGAAGCAGAUCCCUUCCAUCUUGAAGUGAUGGUAUACCACAAAGUAGUUGAGUUGCCGCAGGUUGAUGAUGGGACGAAAGUCUCCUGUCUUCUUCUGAACCAAGAAUAUGUUGCUGAAGAAGCUGCCGUCUUCCUGCACAUGUUCUACUGCGCCUUUGGAGAAAAGGGUUCGGACUUCAUCGUUGAUCAGUGACUCAUUGUCUUCGGAUGUACGCACGGGUGGUGGGUGUUCUUGGUACGGUUGUGUAUGAAAUUUGAUCAUGUAUCCUCGUACCGUCUGUAGGAUCCAGGCAUCCGAUGAGAUAUCCUCCCAUUUCUGCAAAUAAAGGGAGAGUCUGUCUGCAGUCAAAGUAGAGACAUUGGUAUGAGGGUUUGGACUCACCUUUGGAGGGAAAAUGUCCUCGUCCUCUUCCCCGGUAACCUUUGUCUCUGUCUGCACCUCUGUAGUAGUUUUGUAUCCAUGAGGUUGAUGUCGGGUAGAACGAUGCCAAAGGAGGGUUUGGCUUGGAGCCCGAAUUCCAGAAUUGGCUGGUGGCACGGCUCCUCUGCCGACCAGCCUGCCUCAAAACACCCCGGCCUGUCUCAGCGAUGACUGCGCAUUAUUUAGACGUGUUUCUUCAGUUUGGUGAUAAAAGAGUCACCAAAUAGUUGUCCGUUUGCAUUGUUUCCUAACUCUUUGUGUGUCAUAUUGAUGAGCCUUGCAUCAAUUCGGCUGAGAGCCAUCUUGUGCCUUUCCGUACACAAUGCAGCGUUGACAUUGCCCAUCAUACAUAUGCAGCAUUGUGCCCAUACUCUGAUUGCGCUGGGAUAAAGUUGGGUUCCCUUUGAUAGGGCCAGAUCUGCGAAGUAGAGGAUUUUUGCGAUAGGGCCCAUCAGGUCCAGCAGUUUGUCCUAUGUCACUUCGAGGCCCUUCUCCACCCCUUUACAAGGGUCAUGGCCGGUUCUUGGCAUAAACACCACGACUGUCUGGUCAAACUCGGGUGUCAACGCUAUUUUGUCUGGCAGAAUUGGGCAUGGGCAUUCAGCUCUCAUGCGGGUGCGUAUCCUGCGCUCUAGGGGCUUGUGUAGAUAGUAGUGGACAAAUUUUGUGUGGUCCAGUGAGUCCAGUGUCUCCUGGGUGAAGGACUCUCCACCAUAUGAUACUUUCACAUAUUUAGAAUCAGAAGCAGGAAUGUCUAGCCAGUUACUCUCAUCUUCUGAUUCUGAGGCGUCUGCACACCAUUCAUCAAUGACAUCUAGAGCCGCUGAGGGGUAGGUCUCAUCAUCCUCUGAGGAUAGCACUGUUGGGGUUGCUAGAGAAUGAGUGGCAUGCUUACUGCAUUUAGCAGGAGUUAAUGGAAUAUAUUCGAAGCUUGGACUUGUCACCAGUGGGGUACCCCAGGGUUCUGUACUUGGACCCAUUCUCUUUAAUAUUUUUAUUAGUGAUAUUGCAGAAGGUCUUGAUGGUAAGGUAUGUCUUUUUGCAGAUGAUACUAAGAUAUGUAAUAGGGUUGAUGUUCCAGGAGGGAUAAGCCAAAUGGCAAAUGAUUUAGGUAAACUAGAAAAAUGGUCAGAAUUGUGGCAACUGACAUUUAAUGUGGAUAAGUGCAAGAUAAUGCAUCUUGGACGUAAAAACCCAAGGGCAGAGUACAGAAUAUUUGAUAGAGUCCUAACCUCAACAUAUGAGGAAAGGGAUUUAGGGGUGAUUAUUUCUGAUGACUUAAAGGUAGGCAGACAAUGUACUAGAGCAGCAGGAAAUGCUAGCAGAAUGUUUGCUUGUAUAGGGAGAGGUAUUAGCAGUAGAAAGAGGGAAGUGCUUAUGCCAUUGUACAGAACACUGGUGAGACCUCACGGGUGAGACCUCACUUGGAGUAUUGUACACAGUACUGGAGACCGUAUCUCCAGAAGGAUAUUGAUACCUUAGAGAGGGUUCAGAGAAGGGCUACUAAACUGGUUCAUGGAUUGCGGGAUAAAACUUACCAGGAAAGGUUAAAGGAUCUUAACAUGUAUAGCUUGGAGGAAAGACGAGACAGGGGGGAUAUGAUAGAAACAUUUAAAUAUAUAAAGGGAAUCAACACAGUAAAGGAGGAGACUAUAUUUAAAAGAAGAAAAACUACCACAACAAGAGGACAUAGUCUUAAAUUAGAGGACAAAGGUUUAAAAAUAAUAUCAGGAAGUAUUACUUUACUGAGAGGGUAGUGGAUGCAUGGAAUAGCCUUCCAGCUGAAGUGGUAGAAGUUAACACAGUAAAGGAGUUUAAGCAUGCGUGGGAUAGGCACAUAGGCGUGCGCAGCCUAUUGCAUUAGGGUAUGCACCCUACAGCACAAACACACGCCGCGUGUGUGUGUGUGUGUGUGUGUGUGUAUGUAUCUAUCUAUCUAUCUAUCUAUAUAUGUAUAUAUAUAGAUAGAUAGAUAGAUAGAUACAUACACUGCUGUGUGUGCUGUUAGUGUGAUGUGUGUGUGAGGGUGCUGUUAGUGUGAUGUGAGGGUGUUUGUGUGUGUGUGUGUUUGUGACUGUGCUGUUUGUGUGUGAGGGUGUUUGUGUGUGUAUGUUUGUCCUGUGAAGGUGCUGUUUGUGUGAGUGUCAUGUAUUUGUGAGGGUGCUGUUUGUGUGUGUGUGUGAGGGUGUUGUGUUUUUUUAAAGGUGCUCUGUGUGUUUGUGAGGGUGCGGUUAGUGUACUGUGUGUGUGUGAGCUGUAUGUGUGUAGGUGCUGUAUGUGUGUGUGCUGUAUGUUUGGAGGGAUUUGGCAGAUUAGUAAAUCCUUGCUGCCAUGUGCCAUCCCUGGUGGUCCAGUGGAGAGUGAACUCUAGCCUGCGGGGCUAGAGUUAACUCUCGCGAGAUCUGAGCGUUGCCGCAGCAACACUCAGAUAUCGCGAGAGGAACCUGGCGGAGCUUCUGUCUAGAGCUCCCUGGGUCCUCUCCUGCCUCCCUCCAUGCUGCUGUGGGCCGGUGAGGUAGAUCUUUGGUCUCCCCGCCGGCCCAUGGAGGCUUAGAGCAGAGCCGGCACUCAGAUAGCGCCGGCUCUGUGUGUGUGUGUGUGUGUGUGUAUAUAUAUAUGGGUACACACACACACACUCACAGACACAUUCAGACACACACACAUACAUACACUCACAGAUACACACACACUCACACAGACAUACACAUUCAAAGACACACACUCACAGACACACACACACUCACUGACACACUCACACAUACAUACAUACACUCACACACAUACAUACACUCACAGACACACAGACACACACACACUCACACAGACACACACAUACACUCACACACAGACACUCACACAUAAGAACAAAUUAUUACAUUUUAAUUUUAAAAAAAUGUCCACCCAGCCUCCUACCUGGAGUGCUGGCGUGGACUUGUCGCUGGGGUCCAGUGGGGCGGGCGCCUUUCUGCAGCUCAGCGCGCGGCGAGGGAGCUGUGUGCUGUCUGCUUUCUGCUUCCUCUCGCCGCGCGGGCUGUCUGCUGUAGCUGGGAGCCGGAAUAUGAUGUCAUUUUCCGGCUCCCGGCAUCAGCGCGCAGCGAGAGGGAGCAGACAGCAGACAGCUCCCUCGCCGCGCGCUGAGCUGCAGAAAGGUGGGGGGAUCCAUCACCUCUUGCCCCCCCAUGACAGGGGCAAGAGGUGAAACAGGGGGCGCUGAGUAACUGCAGGAACAGCGUUUCUGCUCAAAAAAAGUGCAGGAACGCUGUUCCUGCAGGACUCAAACCAUAGGCGUGCCACGGGGAUUAGGGUGUGCCCAGGCACACCCGGCACACCCCGUGCGCACGCCUAUGGAUAGGCAUAAGGCUAUCCUAACUAUUAGAUAAGUACAGGGACUAAUGAAAGUAUUUAGAAAAUUGGGCAGACUAGAUGGGCCGAAUGGUUCUUAUCUGCCGUCACAUUCUAUGUUUCUAUGUUUCUUCCCUGUCCCCUGAGCAUGUGGCAUGGGGAGGCUGACUCUUUGGCAUUUUGACAGGGAGUUGAGUUCCUUGGAAGGCGCCUCUCAGUUCAAAUUAUCUUCCACGUCAUGCGGUGUCGGCCCCAUAGCCUGUGUGGUUGGUGCAGGCGGAACUUGCAUUAGCAUUUUAAUUAUUGCUUUCUCCAUGGAUGCUACCACCACAGAAUAACUCAUUCCCUGAUAGUCUUGGCUUUGUGGAGCGGAAUCUGACAUGAUCACACUCAGUAUCGUCCUGUGGGAAAAGGACGUAUAUGUUAUUAUGCUUGCCUAAGCAAUGCCUGGUGGGUAGACCCCUAGCGCAGGCCAAUUGGGGGUAGCCUGGUAUCAGGUAUCCUAUUUGGUCCCCUCUAGAGACUAUGUAAUGCAGGCUCUUGUUUAAAUACCAGUCGUAUUGAGCGGUUGAUAGUAUAAGGGGAGUACCCUUGUAAUCGUGUGGAAGGGUCAGAGGCCUGAUCAGUCUCUAGUAAUAGGCCUUUGGCCCUGGAAUGACUGUUGGGUGCAUUUUGAAAGCAGGGACCACCCCUGCGUGCAGCUGUGUCAGGCAGUCUAUGCACCAAGCGUACAGUCACAGGUUACGAUAUCAUAUUUACAACCCAUACAGUAUUAAUUUAAUAUCCAUGUUCAUUUCACAUCCAUGCUCCAUAAAUAGACAUGUCACUGUUGUAUACAGUUAGAGAAAGAGCAAUGAGACCUGAAACUUGUAGUAUAUUCAGCUCCUUUCAGUAAACUCUCUAUCUGUCUCAGGGAUGAGGAGGCUCUAUGUGUUUCACCAAAGUAAGUCUGGGCUUCCUGCCGUCACCUGGUACAUGCAGGGAAAAAAAAAGGGCCGCCGUGAAGCUCGGGUCCUCGCGAGAAGAACUCCCGCGGGUCCAAAUGAGAGAGUGAGGAGAGGGAGAAAGCUGUCGCUCAGACACCUGACCCCCGGUUAGUGUGUAAGGAGAAGGGAAAGGUCCCCACAAGAGGGAGGUGCCGCAGCGCGAUAGCCUGCCACGGCUGUUAGUUAGUAAGAGGAGUAGAUAUAGGGAUGAAGGGAGAUGAAGUUUAGUAAGGGGAACAUAAACCCCAAAAGGGGGAAUAAAGACCUCUAGAAGUAGUGAGAAAACAGGUGACAGGCAAAGCACCAAAGUAUAAUAUAUACAUCAGCAAUAAUAAACAAUGUAAGAAAAUAUUAUCAGGAACAAGUACUCUGACCUGUGCCUCUACUUGGAGCAGCAAAGAAAGAGGAAGAAUUGGGGUCUGGUCUAUUUUAUAUAUAUAACAACAGGAAGGUGUGAAAUAAUGGCGCUCUAAAUAGUUAUCUCAGUAAUACUAUUUUAGCUGCUGAAAAACACUCUGUGGGAACUCCCAAAAAAAUCACACACAAAUAAGAAUUACCAGAAACACAUAUAACUUCAAGUAUGGUUAGUAGUUUUACCGACUUUCAGUCUGAGUGCAGCACUAUAUAUCAGUAUAGUCUCUACCUGUCCAGUGAAAUACAAGUGAAAAGAUCAACACACUUACCCCCUAUAAGAUGUAUUCUUAGGGGGUUUUACAUGUUAAAAAAAAAAUACAAAAAGCUACAUAGUAUAACUCUGUGAGGUAUAGAGGAAUGAGUGUUAUUAGAUAUAAAGAGAUACACUCACGUUUUUUAGAGCCUUUUAUGGUAUAGGCUCUAAACUUUAGCGUGUCCGUGUCUAUUAAGGUCGACAACCACAACCCCUGUUAUGGCUUUCUCUCAGUUGUUAUCCACGAUAUACAUAGUGGGGUAAGGCAGAAUAGAAAAAAAUCUAGGUGUAUCGCUUUUAAUUGUGAAUCUUAAGGUGUAGAUAUAACAGAAAUGACUGUUCACCUUAUUUAGAGCCUUUUAUGAACUGUCUCUUAAUUUCCUUGUUUUGGUGUCAAAUUACAGGGUGACACCUCCCUUACAGGAACCAGGUAUAUGAUGCAGAUGGUAAUCUUCAAGCAAAAUGUAUUGUUUAACAAUUAAAAUAACACACUAAGAAUAUAUAACAAAAAAUAAAAGAGAAAUAUAUAUAUGAAGCUUGCCAAGACGCGUUUCGCCCAAAUUGCUGGCUUCCUUAGUUAGCCUAUUUUAUAUAUAGGAUGUUACUUAUUUUUGAUUGGUUUAAACUUACUUGAUUGAUCUGUGCUGCUGGAGAUUUAUAGUAAAGCAAGUUAUGGUCGUGGCAUCAAAAGCCGUAAUGAGCAUAUUAGAAGUAAUUAUGUAAGGUCCCUAUAUGAGAUCUAUAAUAAUAUGAAAAAGUCGGUUGUGGUGUGCCGGAACCGACAAAUGCGGUGGGCCUGUAAUAAAAAGAGUAUACCAUACAGAAUUAUAAAGCCUACAAAUCAGUACAUUUCAUAUACAUGUUCCAGAAGUCUUGGCAUAUUAAACAACAGGUUGAUGUGUAUAUCUGGAGUUAACAGAGGCCUCCAUUGUCUCAAAGUCCUAUUACAAUGUACCAAAUAUUAGGUAUGAUUGUCAGCACUGAUGUGGAAGGAGUGACCUGCUUAAAUAUGUGAAUCAAGACCUCAUCUGACCAUGCAGUAAAACCUGAGAUAAAGUCUGAAUUUACUUGUUGUUAGAGUAUUGUCGUGUAAGGAGCAGAUCAGGGGAACCUUGAACAGAGGUUAGGUCGUUAUCCAGAAUUAUUACUGACAGAAUUUAAAAUAUCAUUAGUAGUGUUAAAAUAUUUAAGUAAAAGGUGGCAAAAGAAGUAAAAUCGACCACUGUACUCAAGAAUCUUGAUUACAACAUAAAAAUCUAGCCAUUAUCGGUUAAACUGUAGACCCUCAGCGGAAAGCCAGUAAUGGAGAAUAAGAUAAGUGAUCAGUAACAAAGUUGUCAAUUCCAGGUAUAUGGUCAUAUAUUGAUAAAGUAGUAAUUAGCCGCUGACCAAGCCAGUAUUUACGAAGUGCACAUGACAAGAUGUGCUCGAGGUACAUGUAGAUACGUGAGAAGUGCCAUAGGUGAGCCAAAAUAAUUAAACGACCCUAGAGUUAUGACAUAGGAACCAAGGGUAACUUAAUUGUAUUUUACCAACUUAACAGUGAGUACAAUAGUGUGAAAUAAUGAACCAGAGCGUGAGUGUAUAUGUAUAUGCCUAUAUUUGCGUACACCCCCCCACUAUAUACCUAUGUAUAUAUCUACUUAUACAUAUAUGUAUGGUGUAUAUCGUGGUUAUCUACAGUUUGCGAGUCAGGCAUAAACCUGAUCCGGUCAGUGGCGACACCAGCUAUUGAGAUGAAUGACCGUAUAGAAACCGAUAUGCCUUUGUAAGGGGCUUAAUACCGUAAAAUAAAGAAGGCAUACUGUAAUACUAUGUCUAGAUGAGAAGCUGAAUUGUACUAGUAGUGAAAAUCGCCCUGAAUGAACAUAGCCACUUCCAUGUACGAGGGGGGGAAGUGGCUCAACCUAAAUAUCUAUCAUAAGAAGAUAUAUCUCAUCUAUCUGCGUGGAAUGCAUGUAAUCCUAAUUUACUUAUGAUGUAGACAGAUAGUCAAUAUCCUGUUGGAUAUCUUAAACGUACCGAAACAUGCACUGAAUAUUGAGUUAUGUAACGUAUGCUUAAAUGCGUGUGGAGGACUCUGAGAGGGUCAGCAUAAGGAGACAGCCCCUUGUAAAAGUCGAACUUCGAGUGUAUGUACCAGACUUUAAGGAGAACAGAGUGAGGUCUUAAAUUUACACAUGAAUGAAAUGUAAUGUUGAAUAUCUGAAACCCACUUAGAUAAGGCAACCUAGAUAUAUAUAUGUAUAUAUAUAUACACUACUGUAUAUAGCCAGCUAACAGCCUCUACCUGACUGGUAUUGAAAAUAUAGACCUAUAUAUGUUACUGAUAACCAAAGCUACUGUGUGUACCUAAUAUAGUUCAUCACAUGAUGUUCUAAUCCAGUGUAAUUGGACAGAGGGAACUUACAAAUACCUAAUAGUACCAGCCACGUAACUUACACACAUUUAAUUUUACUGGCUUCACAUAUUAAUGCCAGAGUUAAUUAAAUCUGCUCAAUAUGAUUAUACAACAGAUAGGAUUCCAAUACUAGACACAGUUCUCAUACUAAGCUAUCGCCUCCCUACUAAAAGCCCAUUUAGCGGUACCCAUAUAUGAAAAAUAUGUAUAUAUGUGGUUUGAUCAUUUGGUUUAUAAAGCUGUGCUGGUACCUUAUGUACCAUUCAAAGGUCCUGCUAUGAUGGCAGAUAUAGUCCAAGAUCUAAUAGAAGUAGGACUAGCCAUGUCCCUUGUGUGACGUAUCAGACUUAGUAGGAGUGCAGUGCAGGGACAGGAAACUCCAUCUUCCUGUCGCAGAGAUAUGUUAAACAGCAUGAAGCAGUUAUGUGUACCCAUACAACAUACUGGCUUGCCAGCUAUUGUCAAGUGGCGAAACUUUUAAACAAGUUGGUGACAGGUGAGGCCCUGCUAGAUGUCAAGCAGCUUGAGAGGCUCUAUCUAUGCGUUGGCGCGUGGGGAUUACGUGGCCUCCAAACUUGUGGCGGGUGUCGGCCUCUCUGUGAUUUAUAAAGCAUAAGAUAGAAUGAGAAUGACAGGUAAGGCCCUCUCUAUGCCACCACGUGAGGCGACUAACUAUAAGUUGGGCCGAUGGGUGUAAUACCUUAUAGUGAUACAGUUCCACACAAUAGAUUAGUGUUCAAACUCAAGGAAAUCGUUCUAGAUGAAAAUGCUUGUUAUUGGGUAGAACAUUGGCUUAAAAACAGAGUACAAAGAGGUGUCAUUAAUGGUAAAUUUUCAAGCUGGACAGAGGUGGCAAGUGGUGUCCCUCAGGGGUCUGUUCUGGGAUCCCUUCUAUUUAACAUGUUUAUAAAUGAUCUUGAAGACAGCAUUGAAAGUCAUGUUUCAGUGUUUGCAGAUGACACAAAACUCUGUAAAAUAAUACAAUGUGAGCAAGAUAUUCCUUUGCUGCAGAGGGAUCUAGAUAGACUGGGGGACUGGGCACUCAAAUGGCAGAUGAAAUUUAAUGUUGAAAAAAGCUAAGUUAUGCACUUCGGCGUAAAGAAUACAGAAGCAAACUAUACCCUUAAUGGAAGUAAAUUAGGGAUAACACACGAAAAGGACUUGGAAUUGUUAUAGACAACAAACUAUGUAACAGUGUGCAAUGUCAAUCAGGAGUGGCCAAGGCCAGUAAGGUAUUGUCAUGCAUGAAAAAGGGCAUUCAUUCUCGGGAUGAGAAUAUCAUUUUGCCUCUUUAUAAAUCACUGGUAAGACCACAUAUUGAAUAUGCUGUGCAAUUUUGGGCACCUGUUCUAAAGAAGGAUAUUAUGGCACUAGAAAAAGUGCAGAAGAAAAGGUUAACAAAUUUAAAACCUAUUUAGUUUAGAAAAACGUCGCCUGAGAGGGGAUAUGAUAACAUUAUACAAAUAUAUUCGGGGCCAAUACAAACCAUUGUGUGGAAAUCUAUUCACAAACCGGACUUUACAUAGGACACGCAGGUCGCAUGCUUAGACUGGAAGAAAGAAGAUUUCGCCUAAGGCAAAGGAAAGUUUUUUUACUGUAAGAACAAUAAGGAUGUGGAAUUCUCUGCCUGAAGAAGUGGUUUUAUCAGAGUCCAUACAGAUGUUCAAACGGCUACUAGAUGCAUACUUGCAAGAACAGAAUAUUCAAGGAUAAAAUCUUUCAAUGUAGGGUAAUAACUGCUUGAUCCAAGGAUAAAUCUGACUGCCAUUCUGGGGUCAAGAAGGAAUUUUUUUCCUAGCUUGUUGCAAAAUUGUGCUUCAAACUGGGUUUUUUGCCUUCUUUUGGAUCAACAGCAAAAAUCAAAUGUGAGGAAGGCUGAACUUGAUGGACGCAAGUCUCUUUUCAGCUAUGUUACUAUGUAACCUCCGAGUAUGAGGAUGGUUGUUGGCCUCGCGGGACCACUAACGUAAGACCGAGUCCUGAGAAAGUAUAAGCUAUCGGGCUCCUGGUGUCCUGCCAGCCAGUAAUGAAACUAACUAAGGGAGGCAGGGUAAGAUAUCGAAUGAGUAUGUGUAAUUUGACGUAUCUGAGAACGAGUAAUCAGAAAUGCGGUAUAACUCAGAAGGUGGAUUGGCGCAGACCUACAUUGGGAACGAAAUAUAGUAGGAAUUGUGUUAUGGCAUGUAAAAGUAGAUAUUCAAUUCUGCCUAACAGUAUAUGUUGUGAAGUAAUGGUCAGCCAUUACAUAGGAGGUUGUGCAGUAAAUCAUGGAUACCUAGAAUCGAAUGAUACAAUGCUGUAACGUAAAUAAGUGAGAUGUAAGGCCAGUUUGUGGAUUCAUAGAUAAAGGGUUAUAUAUACACUACACAAAAACGUAUAGCUGGAAGAAUUCCCUGGUGUACCUCACAGACACCCGAGAACAAUGUACAAUAGUAAGAAAGUGGAAAAACACCCAGAAUACGUGUAAAUUAAUAUAUAAAAUAUGCAACAACCUGAUGGAAAAUGUAAUCCAUAUGAAUUCUGUAUAAAAAAAUCAGAGAUCCAACAUAGCGUAAUACAGUAAAAAAACUUAGCAAUAUAUAGAUAUAGGUGAUUGUAGAUACACUCACAAACACACGUGGAAUAUGGCUUCUCGCCCACUCGGGAGCAAAUAUAUGAUGGUGAUAAGACUGGAAAAUCCUCUCAAUGGAACAUAUGGAAAUAAAGGAAAUCACAGAUAGUGAAGUAUGUUGUAAAAAUACAAAAUCACAAUUUAUUGGUCACACUUACAUGUGUGUAUAGCACAAAGAGCAUGUCUCUCAGUAACCUUGAAACUCCAUGCAGUAUGGUCCUCAAUCCAAAAUACAUAUGUAUGGACUUUAUUUCCAUAUUGUUAUUUUAUAUUGUUUUUAAUCUGUAUAUAUCUGUAUUUUUGGCUGCUCUUUGAUAACCCCUCCUGCCACUUCCUAUUUUGGAUUGAGGACCAUACCGGUUUUGAAUUGACAGGUCUAAUGAGUAACAGAAUACUUCAACGUAAUGACAGCCAGAAGCACUAACAACUGAAUUAUGCAAAUGAUCCCUAUGCCGAUAAAACUUAAAAACAUGAGCUAAGUACAUAUAAUAAAGCAGGAAUACAUACAUACUUAAAAACCCUAUCACUCCAUACCACCAUGAUACCCAUAAACCAUUUAAAUAUUAUAUCAAUUAAAACCUAUUUAGCGAGCAUAUACUUUAACCGAUUGAUACAUCCAUUGACAGACAUGAGAAUUGAGUGGUUCGUAUAGUAUGUCCAGUUCAUGUCUGCUAAUUAGUACCUAAAGUACUAGUGUUAGUGAGGUAGUGCAGCUGACUUUGACCGAAUUGAGAAGGAUAAUUUGAAACGCGGGCGUUUCUAUGUAAAUCGUAUGUGAAUUGCAGAGUCUCAUUGCUGUUCAUGUGUUUGGGCGGCUUUCGUUUAAAUUUAUGCAUUAGUUCAUAAGAAUUAGGUAAAGUAUUUUGUGGUGUUAGAUAAUGGAACAAGUGAAAUGUGCGUAUGACAAUUUAAAUGCCGAACGAAGCGCAUGAGUCCCGAAAGGCUAGGUUACUCACGAUUGUCAGUCUCCCACUGGCGGGCUCUGAGGGGUCCAUUCGCAGGACGAACAACGAUAUUUACAGCAGUCAGUUUGUUUGAACCAAAUCGUUUGUGAGAACCAAAACGUUCGAGAAAAACAUGGGAACUUCUCCCGAGGUUGGUUCUUUACCGCCUUGACCAGGAUGUGGACCACCAAGACUACGGCUCCCUUCGAAAAUACAGCUACAGGUAGGGGAGGACCAGGUAAUCGUUCCCCUGUGUAGAAGGUAAGUAUAAUGGUGAUUUGCAGCGACCGGACGUCACAUCAUGCAAAUCGCCAGAAUGAACAAUAAUGGGGAGCGGUCUGGCAUCCAUAAGAAGGGAAAUCAAGCCCCUCCCAUGACUUCAGGUCCAGCAUUCCAUUUAUGCAAAUAUGAAGCCUCCUAUCAUGUGGUAAAAUUCAAGGUGAAUUCAAAGUGAAUGUCAAACUAAAAGACAGAGGAACUGAAAUGAUGAGUAUGAGAAGAACUAUUUUAUAACAUUAACUUCCAAAUCAAAUAUUUUCCCAUGCAACUAAUCAAAUAUGUAGGAAAAACACAAUAUGUGUGUACACAAACCAAAAAAUGCAAUUAGUACAAAAUAAGAUAUUAGCAGACAGAAACUUCCCUGUUCAAGAUGAAGCUUCCAAAGGUACCCCCAAAGACUUUCUCCUGUCUUCCACAAAAUAUAUGCAAAAAUAGGGGAUGAUCUGCUAAGCCAAUAACAAAUAGGAAAACAUAUCAUAUAAUUGUGAAUAUGAAUAAACCACAAGUGUUGUGUUCUCAAAUGGCCACUCACAUAUUCACUGAAAUCCAUGGUGAUUUGAAUACAGAGUGAAGCUUGAAUCCUUGGAAGGAAUUUAUACUAAAGGCACUUCAACUUCAGUGAAUACGUGAGCGACCAUUUGAGAACACAACACUUGUGGUUGAUUCAUAUACACAGUUAUACGCUAUGUUUUCCUGUUUGUUAUUGGCUUAGCAGAUCAUCCCCUAUUUUUUGUAUAUACAACUAAUCAAAUAUGUUGGCAAAUUGUGAAAAAUUACCUUGGUUGUAUCCUAUGAGGGUAAAAGCAUAUGCUUUAGGGAAACAUCUGUAUUUUAUGACAUCCAACUAUUUUCAUACAAUGUACAUAUGGGAAAGGACAAACAAAAAAGUUGGUGUAAGAGCAAAUACAACAAGCAAGGGUUACCAUUUUGACUAGAGAAAGCUCCCUUUCAAUAUGAAGUUGCAAUUAAAAAUAUAAUAGAUGGAUUGUUCUUAGCGUCACUUUCACUUGACAGACUCUUUCUUUAUUUUUAUUAUAGCUCUUCCUCAGUUUGCCAACCUUUUCCCCUGGAAAGGACAUGUUGAUGUAAUGCCUGGUGGUACAAUACAUGUAGUUGGAGAUCUGUGAUGUUCACCUGGAGCAUGCAUGCAUGAGAGAUCUAUGAUACAGAGUUAAGAUAUAGUGUCAUUACUUUGCAGAACUGUUAUUGUAUCAUUCACUUGCACUUCAGCCUCACUGGUGGAACAAAAGAGUGUUAAU